rnacentral:lncRNA from 1 species
UUUUUCUUUUUUCUUUUUUUUGUUGGGUUCUUUUUGGCCUCUCUUUUUUCCUUUUUCGUCUAGAGUCCUAUAACGACUUGUGGGGAAAUCAUAGUCUCCAUCAUCCUUUCUUCACUGGGACAAUGCUCCAAUAAUGGUGAUCAUCACACUUUUAUUUACUUACAACUCAAUAUUACAACUCGAUGAUGUGUCCAUUUUGCAUCAUGUUUUUCUACUGUUGUUUAUAGUGUUUUUAUGCUUUAUAACACUUUGUGGAUUAAUUAUAAUGCCUUUUCUCUCAAAAUAUGCAAGGUUUACACGAAGAGGGAGAAUACCGGUAGCUGGAAUUCUGGACGUGAAAAAGCUAAGUCGGAGAUACCUAUUCUGCACAUCUCCAAAUGGGCUAAAAUUUUACAGAGAAUUAUUUUGGAAUAUAUAAUAAAUAUUGGAGAAAAGAAUAACCGGAGGGGGGCUGUCAGGUGGCCACAAGGCACCAGGGCGCACCAAACACCCCUAGCACGCCCUGGUGGGUAGUAGGCCCCUCGGCCCAACUCCGAUGCCCAUCUUCUGGUAUAUAAGGUCUUUUGACCUAGAGAAAAUAAAGAGAGGACUUUCGGGAUGGAGCGCUGCCAUCUCGAGGCGGAACUUGGGCAGGAGCACUUUUUCCCUCCGGCGAAGCGAUUCUGCUGGAGGAACCUCCUCUCGGAGGGGGAAAUUGAAGCCAUCGUUAUCACCAACAACCCUCUCAUCUUUGGGAGGCCAAUCUUCAUCAACACCGUCUGAAAGAACAUGCGGUGCCCCCAUGUUUGGUUUGGGUAAUUGAUGACAAUCUCUAUGGACUAAUGGUUGCCUUGAGUUAUAUCUGAAGGAUUUGUCCAUAGGCAUUUCUUGAAGUUCAUGUGUUGGUUUCAAGGAGUUUAUGUGGUGACCAAGGUGUUAUUAAGGAAUUAUCCAAAGAUUGGUCAUGUGAGAGUUGAGCUUAUUGCAAGCAUAUCUUGGAGAAGAAGAUUGUGUGAUCAUUCAUGUAUAUCUUCAAGACAUCAUCCAAAUGAAGAGAGUUGAAAAGAUUCAAGGUUGAUCAAGACUAAGUCAAGAGUGAAUCAACUUGAUCAACUCACAAAGCGUAGAAGAUGUACCGAGAGGGAUCAAGCGAUCCCAUGGUGUGGUAAGCAUUGUCAAUUACGCUUUGUGUACUAACCCAUGAUCUUCGUGAGAGUUCUUUGUGGGGUUAGGUUGCGGUGUGCAAGUUCAAGUGAAGCAUCAUGAAGAGAUCAAAUGCGUGAAGCUUGCCGUCCAUUGUGGUGACAAUGGACUUGUGAAGAUGUUGCGGUGUGCAAGUUCAAGUGAAGCAUCAUGAAGAGAUCAAAUGCUUGAAGCUUGCCGUCCAUUGUGGUGACAAUGGACUUGUGAAGAUGUGCGGAAGAGUGGCUCACCCAUAGUGGAGUAUGGGGGAGCAAUCAACUAGUCUUCAUCGAGCCAACGCAACCAAGAAAGGUGGUCCAACUUGAGGGAGUCAAGAUCGUCAUCAUCUAGCUCAAGUGGACCAUGUGCAAGGCAAAGGUUUGCCCUUGAUAGGUUUUCUAUUUUACCGGUCUCAUGAUGGUAGUUGGGAGACCGGGUUAUAGGAUCGAUUGUCGUACUAUCAAGGGGGGCUCUCGAUGAGUAGCUUGAUCGUAUCAUUCGUAGAGAGCUCAAACCAUUGCAUCCUUGCAUCAUCUUUCUUGGUUCUUGUUUGGUUUUUCUCUUUGUGAGUUUUGGAGCUUAUGGUCAUCUUGAUGACAAGCUCGAGUUCAUCGAAAGCGGAGUUCACUCGCAUCUUCUAUGAUGUUUUUGAUGUUGGAAGGUUAUGCCGGUUCUUCUCAGUUGGAGGUUUCACUCCGCUGUUUUGAUGCUACUCGUCGUCUAGUAUCCAACAAGCUUGAGUUUGCUCAAUUCGGAGCUCAUAUGCAGAAGUUAUGGCAGUUUUGGUUUCCCGUGGAGUAUACUUGUUUUCGUGGAAGUGGCUUUAGGAUGGUCCCAGCGGUAGUACCGCGGUACCCAGCGGUAGGCUUAGGGGUCACAAGUGGCAGUACCGCGGUAGUACCGCUGGUGGGUCCUCAGCAGUAGUACCGCUACGGUACCAGGCCCCUACCGCGUCGACUCGAGGGGUCAUUUUUCCUGUCGGAUAGUGCGGUACUUCGCAGCGGCAGUACCGCUCACGAGCGGUAGUACCGCCCAACCACCGCGGCAGUACCGCUCGGGUCUGUCACUCUCCUGCCCUCGAGACUCCACGGUAGUACCGCCCGGGGGAGCGGUAGUACCGCCGUGAUCAGCGGUAGUACCGCUGCCUCCUGCGGUAGUACCGCCCUCUGCGGGGCUGUUUUGGGGGUAACGGUUGGAUUUUUUCCCCCACUAUAUAAGGGGGUCUUCUUCCCCAUUCUACCUUAUCUCUUGAGCUCGUGUUCUUCCCUCAUUGUUGACCUUCUUCAAGCUUGCUAACUCUCAAUCCCUCCAUGGAUUCUUGCUAGUGUUUGAGGGAAAAGAGAGAGGAGAUCUAGAUCCACAUUUCCACCAAUCACUUUCUCCUCUAUGUGAGGGGAACCCCUUGGAUCUAGAUCUUGGAGUUCUUGGUGUUCUCCUUCUUGUUCUUCCUCUCUUUUUCCUCCCUAGCAUUAGUUGCUUCGGUGGGAUUUGAGAGAGAAGGACUUGGGCACUCCGUGUGCCCUUGCCAUUGCAUUUGGUGCAUCGGUUUGAGUUCUCCACGGUGAUACGUGGAAGUUACAAGUUGAGAAGCUUAUUACUCUUGGGUGCUUGGUGCCCUUGAGCUUGUUCCUCUUGGGUGCUUGGGCGCCCUAGAUGGUUGGUGGUGUUCGGAGCUCAAUCAUUGUGGUCUAAAGCUCCGGGCAAGCGUCGGGGUCUCCAAUUAGAUUGUGGAGAUCGCCCCGAGCAAUUUGACGGGUACCGGUGACCGCCCCCAAGGGUUGCCAAAGUGUACGGGUUCGGUGACCGCCCUCAAGGGUCCCUUAGUGGAAUCACGGCAUCUUGCAUUGUGCGAGGGCGCGAGGAGAUUACGGUGGCCCUAGUGGUUUCUUGGGGAGCAUUGUGCCUCCACAUCGCUCCAAACGGAGAUUAGCAUCCGCAAGGGUGUGAACUUCGGGAUACAUCGUCGUCUCCGCGUGCCUCGGUUAUCUCUUACCCGAACCCUUUACUUAUGCACUUUACUUUGUGAUAGCCAUAUUGUUUAUUGUCAUAUAUCUUGCUAUCACUUAGUUGUUUAUCUUUCUUAGCAUAAGUUGUUGGUGCACAUAGGUGAGCCUAGUUGUUGUAGGUUUUGUGCUUGUCAAAUUAACCGCUAGGUUUAUUCCGCAUUUGUUCAAGCCUAAACCGUAAUUAUUUUAAAGCGCCUAUUCACCCCCCCCUUCGGCGACAUCCACGAUCUUUCACCAUCUCAUCUCAAAACCCUAGUUCAUCUCUUGUGUUCAAUCUUUGUACCGGAACCUCAGAUUGGUACUUGUGGGUGACUAGUAGUGUUGAUUACAUCUUGUAGUUGAUGCUAUAUGGUUUAUUUGGUGGAAGAUUAUAUGUUCAGAUCCAUUAUGUUAUUUAAUAUCCCUCUAAUCUUAAGCAUGAAUAUUAUUUGUGAGUAGUUGCCCUUGUUCUUGAGGCCACGGGAGAAGUCAUGUUGCAAGUAAUCAUGUGAAUUUGAUGUUCGUUCGAUAUUUUGAUGAUAUGUAUGUUGUGAUUCCCUUAGUGGUGUUAUGUGAACGUCGACUACAUGACACUUCACCAUGUUUGGGCCCAAUGGAAUGCAUUGUGGAGUAUUUAUUAGAUGAUGGGUUGCUAGAGUGACAGAAGCUUAAACCCUAGUUUAUGCGCUAUCCCGUAAGGGGCUGAUUUGGAUCCAUAUGUGUAAUGCUAUGGUUAGAUUGUUAUCUUAAUUAUUCUUUCGUAGUUGUGGAUGCUUGCGAGGGGAUUAAUCAUAAGUGGGAGGCUUAUUCAAGUAAGAACAGCACCCAAGCACCGGUCCACCCACAUAUCAAAUUAUCAAAGUAGCGAACGCGAAUCAAACCAACAUGAUGAAAGUAACUAGAUGAAAUUCCCGAGUGACCUCAAGAAUGCUUUACUUAUUAUCUGAGACCAUUUCGGCCUGUCCUUUGACAUCAAAAGGAUUGGUCUACCUUGCUUCACUUAUUGUUACUAUUGUUACUUGUUACUCGUUACAAAUUAUCUUGCUAUCAAACUACUUGUUACCAACAAUUUCUGUGCUUGCAGAAAUUACCUUGUUGAAAACCUGUCAUUUCCUUCUGCUCCUUGUUCGGUUCGACACUAUUACUUGUCAAAAGGACUAAGAUUGAUCUCCUAUACUUGUGGGUCAUCAAGACUCUUUUAUGGUGCCGUUGCCGGGGAGUGAAGCGCUCUUGGUAAGUGGAAAUCGGUGAGGAAAAAAUUACAUUACGGGCUGAAAUUUAUUAUCACUUGUUACUAUGGAAAACAAUCCUUUGAGAGGUUUGUUCAGGGUAUCUUCACCUCGGCCGGAAACACAAAGAUUUGCCCCUCAACCUACUACACCUAAUGAAAAUAAUAGUUAUGAAAUUCCUUCGGGUAUGAUAGAGCAAAUGCUAGCUAAUCCUUAUGCAGGAGACGGAGUGAAGCAUCCCGAUAUGCAUUUGAUACAUGUGGAUGAAAUUUGUGGAUUGUUUAAGCUUGCAGGUUUACUCAGAGAUGAAGUUAAUAAGAAGGGUUUCCCUUUAUCUUUGGGGGAAAAGCAUUGACAUGGUGUAGGCUAUACGGUGAUAUUGGAUCUUGGAAUAGGAAUCGACUGAAAUUGGAAUUUCGCCAAAAAUUUGAUCCUAUACAUCUAGUUCAUCGUGAUCGGAAUUAUAUAUAUAUAUAUAUAUAUAUAUAUAUAUAUAUAUAUAUAUAUAUAUAUAUAUAUAUUGGCCUCGUGAAGGAGAAAGUAUCACUCUAGCUUGGGGUAGGCUUAAGUCAAUGUUAUAUUUAUGCCCCAAUCAUGAGCUCUAAAGAGAAAUUAUCAGUCAGAAUUUUUAUGCUCGGCUUUCUCGUAAUGAUCAAUCCAUGCUCGAUACUUCUUGUGAUGGUUCUUUUAUAAAGAAGACUACUGAAUUCAGGUGGGAUCUUUUAGAAAGAAUUAAACGCAACUCUAAAUAUUGGGAACUCGACAAAGGUAAAGAGUCGGGUAUUAAGCUUGAGUUUGGUUGUGUUAAAUCUUUUAUGAACACCGACGCUUUUCACAACUUUAGCACUAAAUAUGGUCUUGACUCUGAGAUAGUAGCCUAUUUUUGUGAAUCAUUUGCUACUCAUGUUGAUCUCCCUAAGCGAGGUGAUGGCGAGGUGCGUGGUGCUUAGCUGAGCGGCGGCGAGGGCAGGAGAGAGGCUAAUUGGAUAGAGGAGAGGCCGGGGUAGGGUCUGGACAAGUUUUAUAAUGGCUAGGGCGCCGGACGGCCAUAAAAUUACAGCUCAUUUGGAGAUGCGCAGAAUAGGUAUCUCUGAUACAACUUUUUCAGGUCCAGAAUUCCAGCUGCCGGUAUUCUGCCUCUUUGGAUAAACCUUGCAUAUUAUGAGAGAAAAGGCAUUAGACUUACUCCACAAAGUUUUAUAUUUAAUAAAAACACUAUGAAUAACAGUAGGAAAACAUGAUGCAAAAUGGACGUAUCAAGUACGUGCUCACUAACGGUGUUGUUCUCCUCCAUCUUACAGCUAAUGACUUGUCAGAGGUUUCAUACCUCUCAACCCGGGCAUGAGUCUGAAAUACCAAUUUCAGCUCCUGGAAUAUCUCAGAUGCUCCGCGGUUCUCAAAACGUCUUUGGAGCCCCGCUUCGAAGCUGUAAAGCAUGGCGCACUGAACUAUCAUGUAGUCAUUAAUAUUCUUGUCUGACAGACGUUCAUAGCAUCUAGGUUUGCGGGAGUAGGUGGCACACUACAAAAAAAGACACAUCCAUGACAUUUUGGCCCGAACGUUUUUUCUGUCAUGGUUCUAACACUCCUAUGACGAUAAUUGUGACAAAAACACGUAUCAUCAUAGAUGUGGUGGGCUCCUACUUUUAUGACAAAAAAUCAUGACAGAAAAUGGGCUUCUCGUCCUGGGUGAGCUGGGGACGCACCUGCAUGACAUUCUUUGGGCCGUCCAUGAUGGAAAAAGUCAUGGUAGAAGCGAGGGUGAGGGAAAUUUCGGGGAGUUCCCGGUUACGGUAGGUGGUCGGGGCCGAGCGAUGCAUGGAGGUUUGCGUGUUUCUCUCAUAUACGUGUGCGUGUGUGUGAGGCAUUGGGAUCUAACUGAAAUCGGGCGAGGCGUUCGCUUACUGAACCCGAGCGAUUGCACUAGCUACAUUACUGAACCCGAGCGAUUGAUCCCUUGGCUGUUAACUGAAUCUGAGCGAUUCCUUCAUUGCUGACUAAACCCGAGCGAUUCCUUCGCUACUGCUGAUAACUAAAGUCGGUCAAUCCUGCCACUUGAUGAACAGUGACUGUUGUUGGGGGUUGGAUGAAUAGUUCUCGGUGGGGGUUGGAUGAACAGGACCCCAUGGUAGUAGGGCGUUGCCGCUGGAUGAACAGGACCUUGAGGAGGCCGCCACACCUGAGCCUGUUGGGGGUGGCUGAACAAGACCCCGUGGAGGGCUGGUUGAAUAGUAGUCGGUGGAGGCUGGAUGAACAGUAACCCAUGGAUGAACAAUAGCUGGCGGAGGUAGGAGGAAGACGCGGUGGAUGAACAGUAGCAGGUGGAGGCUCGAGGAAGUCGACGGUGGAUGAACAGUAGACCGUGGAGUCCCGUUUUGCGGUAUGCCACACCCCUCCCGAUGAGGAACCCGUUUCGAUCGUAGGUGCUCUAGCAGAAGUAUGUUUCCUCCGUCUUGCAGUAAGUCACACCCCUCCCGAUCAACAGGACCCCGUUUCGACCUUGGGCGCUCGAAUAGAAGUCCAUUUCCUCCGUUUUGCGGUAUGCCAGACCACUCCUGAUGAACAGGAUCCUGUUUCAACCGUAGGCGGUCGAACAGAAGGUCGUUUCCUCCAUUUUGCGGUACGCCAGGCCCCGUUUCGGCUGUUUCGUCCAAGCCGCAUGGCUCCCGAUGAACACAAAGCAUUUCGUUGCCUCCCGAUGAACACGACGCUGUUUCUCCAUUCCGACCAACCGGUUGGCUGCCGAUGAACAGGACGCUGCCGAUGAACAGGAUGAGCUGCUGGAAUGCGUCGUCGAGCUGCUGGACGCAGCGGCCACGAGAGCACCGCCCUUCUGCUAUCAGCUCACGCCUCACGCGGCGGUCGGGUCCCACGACGGGCCUCGCCGCGCCCGCGUCUUCCCGGGCGCACCCGAGGGCCUCGUCGACAUCAACAUGACCCACGGUGGAGGGCGCCCUGCCGCGCCCGCACCACCCCAGAUGGGUGCGGGCACAAGUGUUGCCGCGUACGGCCCCAUCGGAGCACCGCCCUGCCAUCCUCAGGACAGCAUGACAGGCCGGGCAACAUGGAGCGUGGGGCACUUCGGCGAGGUCUUCGAGGCAGCGGCCUCGGAGGCCUAUGUGCCCCGCAUGAUGGACCAGGAGUACACGCCGGAGGACGACCCUAGCUCGUUCCUCGGGCCAGGUUGGGAGGAGGAGGCGUUAGGAGCUGAAGCCUUCCAGGAGCCGCCGGAGAGCCUCACCAGCCGCGUCGUCGACAAAAAAUAUAGGGUACCACUAAUCCCUCAGGAGCAAGCUUACACUAACCAUGAGUCGUAGGGGGAUCAGGUCACCACAGCAACUGGCGGCCCCAGCUUGGGGACCUCCCUUCCGCCAGGGGGAUCACGCUGGGGGCUGCAGGAGAGGGGUCGGCAGCCAGAUCCCUCCCCGCGUCGCACGGAGCAAGGCGCCCCCCGGAGGUAGGCUCUCUGCUGGGGAGGUGCUGAAAAGCCUACCCCCGGCAGAGGACCCGUGGUCGUCGAGGGUGCCGCUGGCGUCCCCUUUGCCCCUUUGGUGGCGUCCUGGUUUCCGGUCACCCCCAACGGUGGCUGAGGGAGGCGCAAGGCGAUGCCCUCGUCUGGUGAUAUGAAGUAAGGCUCAUGCCUGUGAAGAUCGCUGCCCGUGACACUCUCACAUAAUAAUGAGUGGGGCUGUACACGCCCCAGAGUCUCUUGAGAGCCGCCCUCGGGCCUCGGGGGCUCCCUCCCACGUCCUAGUGGCAGCACUUAGCUCCGCGCUGGUGAGAAGACUCGAAGACCAGAAGACUAGACUAGGUGCUGGACGCAGCCAUUUGCUUUGGAUCCCUUUUCUGUAGCCUUGCCUUCUGGAUUUGGAUUUAAGCUGAAGUUGAAUUUUUAUCGAUGCGCACGGGGGGUGCCUUUUCUCAUUCAAGCGAUUUCUUGCUAUCUGGUUCUUGCCUUACUUUGAAGCUCGUGCUCGCUGCCUCCCCCUUGCGGGCCCCUCGCGAGCGAGGUUGGGCGCGGCACACGCACCACGCGCGCCGGUCGGCGCUAGAUCCACGUGAAGCCCUCUCGGGCGAGCCAGCAGACUCUUCAGGAGUUCCUCAGGAGCCCACGAUCUCAUGAUCCAGCACGGGGGCUUACCCAACUAAGGUAAGCCGCAACGGCAGACUUGCCGCAGGACCCACGGAUUCUUGAAGGUGCAUACUCGGCUUGACAUAAAGGAAUAAGGACAGCGGUUUGUUUACACGAGGGGCUCCCCCUCUCAAAAUGCUCUUACAAUCUUUAGGGGUCGCGCCUGAGUUUUUGCAUACAAGAUAAAACAGAAGGGGAACAUGGGAUCAGCCGGAUAUGUCGCUCGCCGCAUCGCCUUCGGACGCGUCGCUCGCGUCGUCGUCACCUUCGCCGACAUCGUCGUCGCCUUCGACGGCGCCUCCAUCACCGUCGUUGACCACGUCGCCUUCGUCUACCGCGACCACCACCGCGUCGUCUUCGGAAGCGAAGGCCCUGACCAGUGCAUCCACGUUGUCCUCCACCCACCGCGCCAGGUCGCCCGGAUGGCCUGCGGUACGGGGGCAAUGGCGGCGUCGAAGUCGGGGAAGGUGUUCCGAAGAUGGCUGAAGACACGAGAGAAAGCGCGCCCGAGCAGGCCCCGGCUCCUCUCUUCCAUGAGCUGACAAGCUCUAUCAGACCGGGCUUCCAGGCGCGUCACCACGUCGGCGAAGAAGCGCAGGUGACUGGCGUAGUCAUCCGAGUGGGGAUGCGGUGCAUUCUAGUCACAGACGUGGCCCAGCGUUGUAACAUCCCAAAUUUCCAAUUUGGAAUGUUAUACAUAGGUCAUUCAUGCAUAUCAUAUUUUAUUGCAUUUCUUUUUGCAAUCCUCGAAAUUCUAAGCAACUCAAGGGCCCAUGGAGAGAGUUGGGGAUUUCACCGUUUUCAUAUUUGAGUUAUUAUCAAAUAUCGAAACAAGGAUCAGUUUGGUUUUAAUUAUUAUUCUCUCUGAAAAUAUUUCAUAUUAAAAAUAUAUGAGAGGAGAUAAUAUGACUUCUCCAAAAUAAAUGAAAUAUUGGAGGAAAAUACCAAAAUCAAAUAAUAUAUUUUAUUUGGAUUUUGUUGCUAUUUUAUUUGAAUUAGAAAAAAUAUGCAUUUUUCAAAAUUGCAUUUUAGGCCAAGAAAAUGUUCACCCUGUUCUAAAUAUUUUAUUUAGACGGGGAAAAUUUGUUUUGGUAUUUUUAGACUUUUUUUAUUUUUCUAGGAUUUAUUUUCGGCGGAAUUUAUUUAAAAAAAAGUUUCCCUCCCGAACCGAACUGGGCCGAGGCCCAGUUGGCCCAGCCACCCCGAGCCGCCAUCUCCCUCGCGGAGACCGCGAGCCGCACGCUGCCGCCCGUCGUGGCCGACGCGACCACGCCUCCCCCGCCCCCUACCGCAAGCCGCCUCCCCUCCCCUCCUUNNNNNNNNNNNNNNNNNNNNNNNNNNNNNNNNNNNNNNNNNNNNNNNNNNNNNNNNNNNNNNNNNNNNNNNNNNNNNNNNNNNNNNNNNNNNNNNNNNNNNNNNNNNNNNNNNNNNNNNNNNNNNNNNNNNNNNNNNNNNNNNNNNNNNNNNNNNNNNNNNNNNNNNNNNNNNNNNNNNNNNNNNNNNNNNNNNNNNNNNNNNNNNNNNNNNNNNNNNNNNNNNNNNNNNNNNNNNNNNNNNNNNNNNNNNNNNNNNNNNNNNNNNNNNNNNNNNNNNNNNNNNNNNNNNNNNNNNNNNNNNNNNNNNNNNNNNNNNNNNNNNNNNNNNNNNNNNNNNNNNNNNNNNNNNNNNNNNNNNNNNNNNNNNNNNNNNNNNNNNNNNNNNNNNNNNNNNNNNNNNNNNNNNNNNNNNNNNNNNNNNNNNNNNNNNNNNNNNNNNNNNNNNNNNNNNNNNNNNNNNNNNNNNNNNNNNNNCCCCGCACUGCCCCGCCUCGCCGCGCCGCCGCAGAAGCCGCCGGAGCCACCGCCGCCGAUCCGAUCCAAAGCCGUUCGGUUUUUUUGGCUUUUACGUAAAAUCCUGGUUUUUUUAACCCAAGUUUUGUUUUUUUAGAUCGGUUCAUUCGGUUUUUCUCGGUUCGGUUAAAUAGAGGACGUUCGUCCGUACGUUCGUUUUAACGAACGUUCGUUCGUUAGCCUGUUUGUCAGUUUUUCUUUUCCCAGGGUUUUUCCGCGAUUAUUUUCGAUCGCGAUUCCAACCUAAUCUUCGAUUUGGUAUAUCUUUUCGCUCGUUUAUCCAAAUCAGGUGAUACAAGCGUCUAGAUCUUCGUCUCGAAGCCCUCUCUCUGUUUAACCAACUUGAACAAGAUUUUGGUACUAUAAAAUUUGACUUUAGUCCUGAUUAGUAAACGGAUCUUGUUUCUUUCGCAGUUUGAGUUUCGUUGCUCUGUUUGAUUUGAUUCUUUUUGCAAACCGGAGUUCUUCAGUUGAACUUUCUGGUUAGAUCUUCUUAUUUGAGUUUUACCCGUGCAUCUAUGAUUGAUUGCUUAUGUAUGCUAUUGUUUGUUUGCGAUAGAAUUCCCGGAGUGCGAAGCGUGCUACUACGAGUCUCUAGGUUUUGCAGAUCGUCAGCAAGGCAAGUAACACAUUGAUCAUACUCUUUUCAUACCCAGUUUUUAUGCAUUAGUAUCAAUCCCCAAACAUUGCAUGAUUAGGAUGUGGUUAACUUGUGGGUAUUGGGAAGUAGUUGUUGAGGUAGAACCUAUUGCCCUGUUUAUUAUCAAACCCUUGGGAGUUACUUCUACGUUAUGCUUAUAUUGCUAUGCUAUGCUCAUAGACGUGGUUUGGGUGAGUGAACCCAUGACAGAUGUGAGCUUGUUAAUUAAUGGUUAACUUAAGGUGGCAACUUUAAUACACAUCUGGGUGGAUUGCUUGUGGGCACCUGGAGAAUCCAGUGUUGUCCUAGGAUAUCCCGGAGUACCCGUGUGAUCAUCCUACGGUCCGCCACCCAGGCUCAAAGGGAUCAUAAGGUUAUUCAUGCUAGAAACUUCCGUGUGCAGCCACAAGCUAUUAUGGGCUCUAGCACAGUUGAGUAUGUUGCAUGACCUCUUCCAGUGGUAGGCUAGCAUAUGUAGGGGAUGUAGGUUGGUACUGUCUACCCAAGGUUAGAGUUAAUGCUUCUAAAAGACUGUGUCUCGGUCAUCCGUUUCACAAACAUCAUGUAGUGCGAGAAAUUCAACGGAGGAGAACGAGUCUUGUGGGGAAAAGUGCGCAAACCUCUGCAGAGUGUACAAACUAAUCAUGGUUAGCCAUGUCCCGGGUUAUGGACAUCUUGAGUAUCUGGUUCUUGGAUUAUCAUAUGGAUCUCAUCACUCUAAAUAUAAUUUUGUUGGGUUGAUAAUUACUUUUAAUUGGGAUUUGAGUUGGAGGAACCUUCUCAAAUGUUGUUCAACUACCAUGAUAGUUAAAUAAAAUAUAUUCCUUUGUUGUAGGGAAAAAUUGGCUUUUCGCAAAAACAUAUUAACCAUACAGCCUCCACCAGCCAUAUAUGCAUGUAGUGAUAGAAAUUAUUUGUUCAUUACUUUACUAUGUUACUAUGCCAGCAUAUUCCAUGUGCUGACCCGUUUUCGGGAUGCAACGUAUCAUGUUGCAGACUUUUCAGACGAAGAGUAAGGUACGCUAGGUCGUUGUCGUGCACUCAGCUAUGCCGUUGGAGUUGAUGGACUCACUUUAUCUUCCAAGCCUUCUGCUGUUAUCUUAUUUAGAUGGCCUUAGGCCAUAUUUAUUGUAAUAAGUUCUCUUUGGAGACUAUCGAUGUAAUAAGUGUGUGAUUGCUACUCUGUUAUAAAUCCUUCGAGUACUGUGUGUGUCAGCAUUACCGAUCCAGGGAUGACACAUGCACAGAGACUUGACCGUCUGAGGUCGGGUCGCUACAAGAUGGUAUCAGAGCACACGCUGAAUGUAGGACACGACCACUAAGAUGAGCCAUAGGUCACUCUUCUCUACUCAUUUCUGACUCCUCUCCAUUUUCUACUCUUUAGGUUGGUGGACUCAAGGAACAAGUUUGCACAACCAGAUGAAGACACACCUUUUGGACGACACUUGAAGGAAGUCACUAGGUACAUGAACAUCGGAAUACCAAGCUUCACCGGGACCUACACCACCACCUUACCAGAAGAGGAGCGCUGGAUGAUUCGAGUUCAAGUUCCAGGAAGGACUUUCACGCCAGUCACUGAGCCCAUAGAGUUUUCCUUUGAUGCACCAACAUGGAGUCUAGGCAAGAGCAUGGCAGCCCACAUUGCUAUGGGAAGAAUUGGAGAAGUCUACAAACAGGAGCUGAAGGACACUAUCUACUAGAUAUGUGGGUGCCGAGAUGAGCAAUGGGAGAUGAUCAGUACCAGGAAGGACAGGUCCAUUGCAGCUUUCAUCCAGGAGUUAAACCAGCACAUCCGACGCCAGGAGAACCAGAUGUGCGCUAGCAUGAUAGAUUUGAAGAAGGCUAUGACCAGGAACAUGGAGCUAGAGGAGGAACUCAAGUCUACACACGACAGAUACGAGGAGGAAAUCGCAAUUCUGUUGCAGAAGAAUGAUGACCUGAUAAAGAAGCUCGGAGUAUUCCUGGGAGACCCCGCACCAGGAGGAGAUGACGACGAACCCAAGGAGAUUCAUUCUGAAGACUACAUCAUCAUCAACGACACCGACUCCGAUCCCGACGGUAAUGAUGAUGACUGUGAAGACGAAGCUGGAGCUGAUAUCAUGGACUCUUCCACCGAUCAAAACUUCUAGUAGACCACCAUAUGAUCAAGUAGUAUUUCCCCCAUGUAUAUAGUAUAGUCUGAGCACUGUAAUGAUAGUUAGAUCGAUUGUAUGCCCUUGCUUGAUUGAUUGAGUGAUAUGAUAUGGUUGUGUUUCUCUUAUGUGCAUAUGGGUAGUACUUUUCCCACUACACCUCAUUCUAUUCUAAUCUCUUCCCUCUAAAUCCAUCAGAUGCCUCCGGGACGUGAUACCGGAUUUGUCUUCCCACCGAAGCUCACUCAGUUGAUCCAGCAGAAGAAUGCCUUGAUGCAGUUGUUAGUUUAGAACCAAGGCAACAACAACAACCCACCGCCACCACCUCCAGUUAACAACUUAGCCUGUUUUCUGAGGUUGCAACCGCCGGUGUUUUCCAGUAGCACCGAGCCGAUAGUUGCUGAUGAUUGGCUAUGCAGGAUUGGAAGGGAGUUGACCACCGCAGGUUGCACAGAUGCUGAGAAGGUGCGCUUUGCCGCACAUCAAUUGGAUGGACUAGCAGCCUCAUGGUGGGAGAAUUACACAGCCACAUUCCCUAUAUCCAAUGUCACUUGGGAGCAGUUUCAGCAGGCAUUCCGCACAGCCCAUGUCUCAACUGGAGCUAUGAGCAUGAAGAAGCGUGAGUUUCGCAACUUACGCCAAGGGAAUCGUACUAUGGGGCAGUACAUGGAUGAGUUUAGCAAGUUAUCUCGCUAUGCCCCAGAUGAUGUGGCCACAGAUGCCGUGAAGCAGGAGAAGUUUAUGGAAGGGCUGAACGAUGAGAUGAGUAUGCAGUUGAUGGUGGCAACAUUUAACAACUACCAGGAGUUGGUAGAUAAAGCUCUCAUGAUUGAAGGGAAGCAUCAGCAAAUAGAGAGCCGCAAGAGGAAGUAUGGACCAGGGAAGUACAAUUCAGGAGCUCAGCAGAAGCCUCGUUUUACCCCGAACUCUGGAGGAUUUACCCAUAACCAUGGAGGCCACACUCACAAUGGAGGAAGUUCUCAUAAUCAUAAUGGCCCCAAGAAUGGGAAUGGGAAUGGAGCAAGCAACAAUCAGAACCGCUCCAAUCCAGCCACACCCGCCAAGAGGGACCUAAGUCACAUUACUUGUUUCAAGUGCGGGAAGACUGGACACUAUGCCACUGAGUGCCCUGAAACGAAGAACGGAAAUGGUAAUGGGAGCUCUGGGAAGAAGCUCAAUCCAUUUAACAAAGGACAAGUGAACCACGUGAGCGUGGAGGAGGUUGAAGAGCAGCCAGACGCAGUUAUCGGUAAGUUUUUGGUUAAGUCUCUUACCGCUCUCGUUCUUUUUGAUACUGGUGCAUCACAUUCAUACAUAUCAAGGGGAUUUGUGGACAAGUUUAAGUUGCCAUCCCUAGCCCUUAGGACACCCAUGCUAGUGAGCUCACCAGGUGCAGAGUACAUGGCCAGCCGAUGGUGCGAUUGGAUACCCUUAACCAUCGGGAGCCAUGUUUACCCCUCAGACCUAAUAAUUUUGGAGUCGCAAGGAUUGGACAUCAUAUUAGGCAUGGAUUGGUUACCGAAGUAUGGAGGAAACAUUGACUGCGCUAGCAAGUCAAUUCUGCUCACCACCCCGGAGGGAAAAAGGAUCAAGUAUGUAUCCAGGCAUUCGCCAAGGAGGACUCAAGCAAAUUCCCUCUCAGGAGUUGUUUAGGAGGAAGUGCCUGUUGUGAAGGAUUACCCGGAUGUGUUUCCAGAAGAGUUACCAGGCAUGCCACUAGAUCGAGACAUUGAGUUCUUGAUAGAAUUGUUGCCAGGCACCGCACCUAUAUCAAAGAGACCCUACCGGAUGCCCGCAAAUGAUCUAGAGGAGAUCAAGAAGCAGAUUAAGGAGUUAUUGGAGAAAGGUUACAUCCGACAAAGUUCAUCACCGUGGGGAGCCCCAGUGCUCUUGGUUGAGAAGAAGGAUGGAUCUUUAAGGAUGGUUGUUGAUUAUCGAGCAUUGAAUGAAGUGACGAUCAAGAACAAGUACCCACUGCCGAUGAUCAAUGACUUGUUUGAUCAGUUGCAAGGAGCUAAAGUAUUUUCAAAGAUCGAUCUGCGAUCAGGAUACCACCAGCUGAAGAUUCAUGAGAAGGAUAUACCUAAGACAGCUUUCACCACUAGGUACGGGCUGUAUGAGUAUACGGUUAUGUCAUUUGGAUUGACUAACGCCCUGCCUACUUCAUGAGUAUGAUAAAUAAGGUGUUUACGGAGUUUUUGGAUAAGUUCGUUGUGGUGUUCGUUGAUGAUAUCUUGGUAUACUCAAAGAAUGAAGAGGAGCACAAGGAGCAUUUGCGUUUAGUGCUCGAGAAGCUCAGGGAACAUCAGUUGUAUGCCAAGUUCAGCAAAUGCGAGUUUUGGUUGAAGGAAGUUGGAUUCCUUAGACAUGUUAUAUCAGGAGAAGGUAUAGCAGUAGACCCCACCAAGGUUAAGUCAGUCACAGAUUGGAUAUCCCCCGUCACAGUUGGAGAAAUCCGCAAUUUUCUUGGACUUGCGGGAUACUAUCGGAGAUUUAUUGAGAAUUUCUCUAAAAUUGCGAAGCCCGUGACGGAGUUGUUGAAGAAGGACACUAAGUUCAAAUGGACAGAAGAAUGUGAGGCCAGUUUUCAGGAGUUGAAGAAACGUCUGACUACGGCCCCAGUGCUAAUUCUGUCGGAUAUGCGCAAGGAUUUCCAAGUGUAUUGCGACGCAUCUCGCUUAGGACUUGGAGGAGUGCUUAUGCAGGACGGAAGAGUUGUUUCAUAUGCCUCACGUCAACUUCGACCGCAUGAGUUGAAUUAUGCCACUCAUGAUUUGGAGCUAGCAGCCGUAGUGCAUGCACUCAAGACUUGGAGACACUUUCUUAUUGGAAACCGUUGUGAUGUGUACACAAAUCAUAAGAGUUUGAAGUACAUAUUCACCCAGAAGGAGCUGAACCUCAGGCAGAGGAGAUGGUUGGAACUUAUAAAGGAUUAUGACAUGAAGCUGCAUUAUCAUCCAGGAAAGGCCAAUGUCGUAGCAGACGCUUUGAGCCGGAAGAGUUAUGUCAAUACCCUCGUAAGCGGAGGAUUGCCAAAGGAGUUAGCAAAAGAUCUUAGGGAGUUGUGUUUGGAGAUAGUCCCUAGAGGUUUUGUUGCAGCAUUGGAGGUUCAGUCAACAUUAUUGGGAAAGAUUCGAGAAGCUCAGAAGGAUGACAAAGAAAUUGCCGAGAUAAAGGAGAAGAUGAGCAAAGGAAAAUCCAAAGGUUUUCGUGAGGAUGAGCACGACACCUUGUGGUUUGAGGACCGUGUAUAUGUGCCCAAUAAUGCAGAGAUCGGGAAGUUGAUACUUCAGGAAGCUCAUGACUCACCAUACUUGAUAGACCCCGGAAACACCAAGAUGUAUUUGGAUUUGAAGGAGCGUUUUUGGUGGACUGGUAUGAAGAAGGAUAUUGCUGAGUAUGUAGCGGUAUGUGAUGUAUGUCAGAGAGUGAAGGCAGAACAUCAGAAGCCAGCAGGAUUACUGCAGCCUAUGCCGAUACCCGAAUGGAAGUGGGAUAAGCUUGGCAUGGAUUUUAUCACCGGAUUGCCCAGGACCCGAUCAGGAUAUGAUUCUAUCUGGGUAGUAGUUGAUUGCUUGACCAAAGUGGCUCACUUUAUCCCAGUGAAAACCACGUAUACAAGUGCGAAGUUGGCCAAGAUAUACAUGACCAGGAUCGUAUGUCUGCAUGGAGUUCCGAGGACCAUCGUAUCAGAUAGAGGAACAUAGUUUACUUCAAAGUUUUGGAAUCAGUUACACCAGACUUUGGGUAUCAGGCUAGAAUUCAGCACAGCCUUUCACCUGCAGACAGAUGGCCAGACUGAGAGAGUCAAUCAGAUUCUGGAAGACAUGUUGAGAGCUUGUGCGCUGGAUUAUGGAUCUAGUUGGGAUGAUAAUUUUCCAUACGCGGAGUUUUCAUACAACAAUAGCUACCAGGCCAGUUUGAAGAUGGCACCGUUCGAAGCCCUGUAUGGAAGAAGGUGCAGAACACCGUUGAUGUGGGAUGAAGUUGGAGACCGCCAGUUCUUUGGACCAGAUUUGAUCAAAGAGUCAGAAGAGAAGGUUAAGCUGAUUCGGGAUAGACUGAAGGUAGCUCAGUCCAGGCAGAAGAGUUAUGCAGAUUCAAAACGCAAGGAGGUAGUCUAUGAGAUCGGAGAUCGAGCAUAUCUUCGUGUGUCACCUCUGUGGGGAGUUAAACGUUUUGGAGUUAAGGGAAAGUUAGCCCCAAGAUUUGUAGGACCAUACCAAGUUUUGGAACGUAUGGGAGAGGUUGCCUACAAGUUGGAAUUACCCGAAGGAUUGUCAGGAGUUCAUGAUGUGUUCAUGUCUCUCAGUUGAAGAAGUGACAUGCUGAGAUGGCCGAUAUACCUUUGAGAGAUACAGUUCCCGUAGAAGCGAUUCAGUUGGACAGUGAUUUGACCUAUGAGGAGAAACCUGUCAAGAUUCUCGAGUUUGCCAGCCGAGUUACUCGCAGCAAGGUAUCAAGUUUUGCAAAGUUCAAUGGAGCCACCAUACCGAGGAUGAAGCCACCUGGGAACGAGAGGAUGAUCUACGGAAGGACCACCCACACCUAUUUUCUAGCCAACCCGAAUCUCGAGAGCGAGAUUCAUCUUAAGGCGGGUAGGUUUGUAACAUCCCAAAUUUCCAAUUUGGAAUGUUAUACAUAGGUCAUUCAUGCAUAUCAUAUUUUAUUGCAUUUCUUUUUUGCGAUCCUCGAAAUUCUAAGCAACUCAAGGACGCAUGGAGAGAGUUGGGGAUUUCACCGUUUUCAUAUUUGGAUUUUUAUCAAAUAUCGAAACAAGGAUCACUUUGGUUUUAAUUAUUUUUCUCUCCAAAAAUAUUUCAUAUUAAAAAUAUAUGAGAGGAGAUAAUAUGACUUCUCCAAAAUAAAUGAAAUAUUGGGGAAAAAAAACCAAAAUCAAAUAAUAUAUUUUAUUUGGAUUUUAUUGCUAUUUUAUUUGAAUUGGAAAAAAUAUGCAUUUUUCAAAAUUGCAUUUUAGGCCAAGAAAAUGUUCACCCUGUUCUAAAGAUUUUAUUUAGACGGUGAAAUUUUGUUUUGGUAUUUUUAGAUUUUUUUUAUUUUUCUAGGAUUUAUUUUCGGCGGAAUUUAUUUAAUAAAAGUUUUCCCGCCGGACCGAACUCGGCCGAGGCCCAGUUGGCCCAGCCACCCCGCGCCGCCGUCUCCCUCGCGGAGACCGCGAGCCGCACGCCGCCGCCCGCCGUAGCCGACUCGGCCCCGCAUCCCCCGCCCCCUGCCGCAAGCCGCCUCCCCUCCCCUCCUUAAAAACCGACCCAGGGCCCCCCGGAGCCCCAAGUCACCAGCCGCCGCCGCCCGCAAGCCANNNNNNNNNNNNNNNNNNNNNNNNNNNNNNNNNNNNNNNNNNNNNNNNNNNNNNNNNNNNNNNNNNNNNNNNNNNNNNNNNNNNNNNNNNNNNNNNNNNNNNNNNNNNNNNNNNNNNNNNNNNNNNNNNNNNNNNNNNNNNNNNNNNNNNNNNNNNNNNNNNNNNNNNNNNNNNNNNNNNNNNNNNNNNNNNNNNNNNNNNNNNNNNNNNNNNNNNNNNNNNNNNNNNNNNNNNNNNNNNNNNNNNNNNNNNNNNNNNNNNNNNNNNNNNNNNNNNNNNNNNNNNNNNNNNNNNNNNNNNNNNNNNNNNNNNNNNNNNNNNNNNNNNNNNNNNNNNNNNNNNNNNNNNGCCUGCUGUUGUGCUGCUGCCGCGCUGCCCAGCCUCGCCGCGCCGCCGCAGAAGUCGCCGGAGCCGCCGCCGCCGAUCCGAUCCGGAGCCGUUCGGUUUUUUUGGUUUUUAGGCCCGGUUUUUAAAAAAAACCUAGUUUUGUUUUUUUAGAUCGGUUCGUUCGGUUUUUCUCGGUUCAAUUAAAUAGCGGACGUUCGUUCGUAUGUUCGUUUUAACGAACGCUAUUCGUCCGUUAGCCGCAGGCAGCGAACGUUCGUUCGUUAGCCUGUUCGUCAGUUUUUCUUUUCCCAGGUUUUUCCACGAUUAUUUUUGAUCGUGAUUCCAGCCCUAAUCUUCGAUUUGGUAUAUCUUUUCGCUCGUUUAUCCAAAUCAGGUGAAACAAGCGUCUAGAUCUUCGUCUCGAAGCCCUCUCUCUGUUUAACCAACUUGAACAAGAUUUUGGUACUGUAAAAUUUGACUUUAGUCCAGAUUAGUAAAAGGAUCUUGUUUCUUUUGCAGUUUGAGUUUCGUUGCUCUGUUUGAUUUGAUUCUUUUUGCAAACCGUAGUUCUUCAGUUGAACUUUCUGGUUAGAUCUUCUUAUUUGAGUUUUACCCGUGCAUCUAUGAUUUAUUGCUUAUGUAUUCUAUUGUUUGUUCGUGAUAGAAUUCCCGGAGUGCGAAGCGUGCUACUACGAGUCUCUAGGUUUUGCAGAUCGUCAGCAAGGCAAGUAACACAUUGAUCAUACUCUUUUCAUACCCAGUUUUUAUGCAUUAGUAUCAAUCCCCAAACAUUGCAUGAUUAGGAUGUGGUUAACUUGUGGGUAUUGGGAAGUAGUUGUUGAGGUAGAACCUAUUGCCAUGUUUAUUAUCAAACCCUUGGGAGUUACUUCUACGUUAUGCUUAUAUUGCUAUGCUAUGCUCAUAGACGUGGUUUGGGUGAGUGAACCCAUGACAGAUGUGAGCUUGUUAAUUAAUGGUUAACUUAAGGUGGCAACUUUAAUACACAUCUGGGUGGAUUGCUUGUGGGCACCUGGAGAAUCCAGUGUUGUCCUAGGAUAUCCCGGAGUACCCGUGUGAUCAUCCUACGGUCCGCCACCCAGGCUCAAAGGGAUCAUAAGGUUAUUCAUGCUAGAAACUUCCGUGUGCAGCCACAAGCUAUUAUGGGCUCUAGCACAGUUGAGUAUGUUGCAUGACCUCUUCCAGUGGUAGGCUAGCAUAUUAAUGGUUAACUUAAGGUGGCAACUUUAAUGGGCCAUGUUUAUUAUCAAACCCAUGGGAGUUACUUCUAUUAUGGGCCAUGUUUAUUAUCAAACCCUUGGGAGUUACUUCUACGUUAUGCUUAUAUUUCUAUGCUCGUAGACGUGGUUUGGGUGAGUGAAUCCAUGACAGAUGUGAGCUUGUUAAUUAAUGGUUAACUUAAGGUGGCAACUUUAAUGUACAUUUGGGUGGAUUGCUUGUGGGCACCUGGAGAAUCCAGUGUUGGCCUAGGAUAUCCAGGAGUACUCGUGUGAUCAUCCUACGGUCCGCCACCCAGGCUCAAAGGGAUCAUAAGGUUAUUCAUCCUAGAAACUUACGCGUGCAGCCACAAGCUAUUAUGGGCUCUAGCAUAGUUGAGUAUGUUGCAUGACCUCUUCCAGUGGUAGGCUAGCAGAUGUAGGGGAUGUAGGUUGGUAUUGUCUACCCAGGGUUAGAGUUAAUGCUUCUGAAAGACUGUGUCUCGGUCAUCCGUUUCUCAAACAUCAUGUAGUGCGAGAAAUGCAACGGAGGAGAAGGAGUCUUGUGGGGAAAAGUGCGCAAACCUCUGCAGAGUGUACAAACUAAUCAUGGUUAGCCGUGUCCCCGGUUAUGGACAUCUUGAGUAUGUGGUUCUUGGAUUAUCAUAUGGAUCUCAUCACUCUAAAUAUAAUUUUGUUGGGUUGAUAAUUACUUUUAAUUGGGAUUUGAGUUGGAGGAACCUUCUCAAAUGUUGUUCAACUACCAUGAUAGUUAAAUAACAUAUAUUCCUUUGUUGUAGGGAAAAAUUGGCUUUUCGCAAAAACAUAUUAACCAUACAGCCUCCACCAGCCAUAUAUGCAUGUAGUGAUAGCAAUUAUUUGUUCAUUACUUUACUGUGUUACUAUGCCAGCAUAUUCCAUGUGCUGACCCGUUUUCGGGCUGCAACGUAUCAUGUUGCAGACUUUUCAGACAAAGAGUAAGGUACGCUAGGCCGUUGUCGUGCACUCAGCUAUGCCGUUGGAGAUGAUGGAGUCACUUUAUCUUCCAAGCCUUCCGCUGUUAUCUUAUUUAGAUGGCCUUAGGCCAUAUUUAUUGUUAUAAGUUCUAUUUGGAGACUAUCGAUGUAAUAAGUGUGUGAUUGCUACUCUAUUAUAAAUCCUUCGAGUAUUGUGUGUGUCAGCAUUACUGAUCCAGGGAUGACAGUUAUGCACAGAGACUUGACCGUCUGAGGUCGAGUCGCUACAAGCGCCGCGUUGGCCCUGACCCUGAGGUCCUGGAGCAUGGGGGCGUGCUCGCGCUCCAAUGUCCGCCGCUGAAGCACUUCCUCCCUGUUUUGUCGCACGACCGCCUCGGCGUCAUCAACCCAUUUCUGAAGAGAGGGCAGCUCGGCGCGGGAGGAAGCCAACUCCGCCUACGCCGUAACCAGGGCGGCCGCUGUGGCCUCCUCGUGCUUCUCUACCUCAGCCAGCCGGGGCCUAAGGGCAGCGGCCCUACCUGCAGCCUUCGUCUCCGCGGGCUGCGACAUCAAAUCAUGCCAACCCUUGAGACCCGCACAAACCUCAGCCACCCGGCGAUCGACCUCCUCCUGAGCCUUGGCCUCGCGUGCGCCAAUGGCAUCUUCCGCUUGGGCAACUUGAUGCUCCCUCAUCUCCAGCCACUCAAGCUCGAGGCUACGCUCCACGGCUUCCAGAGCCAAUGCCUCCUCGCGCCUCCGGACCUCUUCUUCCUCGGCGGGCAUCCCCCUCAGCAACGCAAGGGCAGCUUUGCGUGCCUCCACCUGCUGCUCCAGGGACGCGCUCCAAGCCUGGAGCUCCCACGCGCGCUUCUCCGCAGCCUCGCGACGGUGGUCGGCCUCGCGAGCUUCCUCCAAAGCUCUAGAUCAAGCCUCACGAGAGACCUUAAGGGACGCCUCGGCCUUCGCAUUGUCAAGAUCACGCUGACGAUGGCCAAGGUUGAUAGCCACCUUCAACUUGUGCCACUCCUCCACCAACCGAAGACCCUCGGCCUCAAGGCGCGCGUCGACACCCGCGAGUUCUUCACCGAGUCGAUUCAUCGCGCCCAUCGCCUCCUGGAAGAGCUCAUGACGAACAACGCUCCGCCCGUGCUCGAACUCAAAAUCACGGCCCAUCUCGUCCUCCGCCGCGGGGGCUGUGGGCGAGGCCUGGAGCGGUGCGCCCCCUCUCAGCAGGGGGCUGGGGGCUGGCGCUGCCCUAGGCGCCAGCCGGACCUCGCGAGGGGCCCGAACUAGACGGGGCCCGCUGCCUGAAGAGGAGCGGAAGACCGAAGCCAACCAGCCGCUGUCCAUGACCAGAGGAGGGGCCCUAGGCACGCCCGCCAAGCUCCAAGCCAGGCCAUGGAGGAAGGACGACGAGACCGCAGAUUCAAAGCGCCGUGGAGGCAAGCGCGCCUCUCCAACCGACCCUACUCCAGGGAUAGCAUGCAGGCUCGGGGCGCUCAAGGCCAGCGGGGGAGUCGAGGAAAGAGGAGGCUGCUCCUCAGGAGAUGCAACGGCCUUGGCAGAAGGGACCCUGAAAGACCACCGUCAGGAAGGAAAGCAGCACUCAAGAAAUCACUAAGGUACAAUACUUACUCGUCGACGGCGAUGUACUUCCUUCGCUUCAACGGCCCGAAGAUACCGCUGCUGCUCGGGGAUCCUUUCCUCUUGCGGAGCUCCUCAAAGUCCACACAAAGCCGGCCGAAGCGCUGGACGUGGCGGCCGGCACGGGGUGCGAUCAGGGAAGCGCUCGAAGGGACAGCUCAGGGGUGUCGGGCUGCGGAGAGCAGACGGGCACCGUCUCACCGCGACCUCCCGAGACCUUCGGAGCUUCGGCCUCGGGAGCCGCGUGCUGCAUUGUCUCAGCGACCGACACCGCACGGGAAGGAUCGUGAGUUCCUGAGGACGACGCCCCAGGAGCACCAGACGACAUCUGCACCUCAGCACUCGGGCCGCCAGCCUCCGGCGGUGCUCGCCCCCUGCAUCUACCCUCAGGGCGAGCUUGGCGCCAGCGAUGGAGAAGGGAACUACGUCGACGGGGUUCUCGCGGGGCCCCACCAGGCCGCCCGGGCGCAGCCCCCACUCAUCAAAGGAAGGCAUGCUAUCUACAAAUUCAGCCUUGUUCAGUGUUGGAAAUAUGCCCUAGAGGUAAUAAUAAAAUGGUUAUUAUUGUAUUUGCUUGUUCAUGAUAAUUGUCUAUUGUUCAUGCUAUAAUUGUAUUAACUGGAAACGUAAUACAUGUCUGAAUAAAUAGACCACAACAUGUCCCUAGUAAGCCUCUAGUUGACUAGCUCGUUGAUCAAUAGAUGGUUAUGGUUUCCUGACCAUGGACAUUGGAUGUCAUUGAUAACGGGAUCACAUCAUUAGGAGAAUGAUGUGAUGGACAAGACCCAAUCCUAAGCAUAGCACAAGAUCGUGUAGUUUGUUUGCUAAGAGCUUUUCUAAUGUCAAGUAUCAGUUCCUUAGACCAUGAGAUUGUGCAACUCCUGGAUACCGUAGGAAUGCUUUGGGUGUACCAAACGUCACAACGUAACUGGGUGGCUAUAAAGGUACACUACAGGUAUCUCCGAAAGUGUCUGUUGGGUUGGUACGAAUCGAGACUGGGAUUUGUCACUCCGUAUGAUGGAGAGGUAUCUCUGGGCCCACUCGGUAAUGCAUCAUCAUAAUGAGCUCGAUGUGACUAAGGAGUUAGCCACGGGAUCAUGCGUUACGGAACGAGUAAAGAGACUUGCCGGUAACAAGAUUGAAUGAGGUAUUGGGAUACCGACGAUCGAAUCUCGGGCAAGCAACAUGCCGAUUGACAAAGGGAAUUGUAUACAGGAUUGAUUGAAUCCCCGACAUCGUGGUUCAUCCGAUGAGAUCAUCGUGGAACAUGUGGGAGCCAAUAUGGGUAUCCAGAUCCCGCUAUUGGUUAUUGGCCGGAGAGAUGUCUCGGUCAUGUCUGCAUGGUUCCCGAACCCGUAGGGUCUACACACUUAAGGUUCGGUGACGCUAGAGUUGUUAUGGGAAAUAGUAUGUGGUUACCGAAGGUUGUUCGGAGUCACGGAUAGGAUCCCGGACGUCACGAGGAGUUCCGGAAUAGUCCGGAGGUAAAGAUUUAUAUAUGGGAAGUCAUCAUACGGUCACCGGAAGUAUUCGGGGGUAUGCCGGUAUUGUACCGGGGCCACCGAAGGGGUUCCGGAGGUCCACCGGGAGGGUCCACCUGCCCCGGAGGGCCUUAUGGGCUGUAGGUGGAAGGGAACCAGCCCCUAAGUGGGCUGGGCACCAACCUCCCCCUAGGGCCCAUGCGCCUAGGGUUGGGGGAAACCCUGGAGGGGGCACCCCCCUUGACUUGGGGGGCAAGCCACCCUCCCUGGCCGCCGCCCCUCCCACCAGAUGGGAUCUAAGGGGCCGGCCCCCCUCUCCCUUGCCCCUAUAUAUAGUGGAGGGGUGGGAGGGCAGCCGCACCCCUGGCCUGGUGCAGCCCUCUCCUCCUCCAACUCCUCCUCUUCCUCCGUAGUGCUUAGCGAAGCUCUGCUGGAGAACCACGAGCUCCAUUGCCACCACGCCGUCGUGCUGCUAGAGUUCUCCCUCAACUUCUCCUCUCCCCUUGCUGGAUCAAGAAGGAGGAGACGUCCCCGGGCUGUACGUGUGUUGAACGCGGAGGCGUUGUCCGUUCGACGCUAGAUCGGAUCUUCCGCGAUUUGAAUCGCUGCGAGUACGACUCCAUCAACCGCGUUCUUGUAACGCUUCCGCUUAGCGAUCUUCAAGGGUAUGAAGAUGCACUCCCUCUCUCUCGUUGCUAGCAUCUCCUAGAUUGAUCUUGGUGACACGUAGGAAAAUUUUGAAUUAUUACUACGUCCCCGAACAGUGGCAUCAUGAGCUAGGUCUAUGCGUAGAUUCUAUGCAUGAGUAGAACACAAAGUAGUUGUGGGCGAUGAUUUGUUCAAUUUGCUUACCGUUACUAGUCUUAUCUUGAUUCGGCGGCAUUGUGGGAUGAAGCAGCCCGGACUGACCUUACACGUACUCUUACGUGAGACAGGUUCCACCGACUGACAUGCACUUGAUGCAUAAGGUGGCUAGCGGGUGUCUGUCUCUCCCACUUUAGUCGGAUCGGAUUCGAUGAAGAGGGUCCUUACGAAGGGUAAAUAGAAAUUGGCAUAUCACCGUUGUGGCUUUUGCGUAGGUAAGAAACGUUCUUGCUAGAAACCCAUAGCAGCCACGUAAAACAUGCAACAACAAUUAGAGGACGUCUAACUUGUUUUUGCAGGGUAUGCUAUGUGAUGUGAUAUGGCCAAAAGGAUGUGAUGAAUUAUAUAUAUGUGAUGUAUGAGAUUGAUCAUGUUCUUGUAAUAGGAAUCACGACUUGCAUGUCGAUGAGUAUGACAACCGGCAGGAGCCAUAGGAGUUGUCUUAAUUUAUUGUAUGACCUGCGUGUCAAUGAAAAACGCCAUGUAAUUACUUUACUUUAUUGCUAACUGUUAGCCAUAGUAGUAGAAGUAAUAGUUGGUGAGACAACUUCAUGAAGACACGAUGAUGGAGAUCAUGGUGUCAUGCCGGUGACGAAGGUGAUCAUGCCGCGCCUCGAAGAUGCAGAUCAAAAGGCGCAAGAUGAUAUUGGCCAUAUCAUGUCACUUUAUGAUUUGCAUGUGAUGUCUGUCAUGUUUACAUCUUAUUUGCUUAGAACGAUGGUAGCAUAAAUAAGAUGAUCCCUCACUAAAAUUUCAAGAGAUGUGUUCCCCCUAACUAUGCAUCGUUGCGAAGGUUCGUUGUUUCGAAGCACCACGUGAUGAUCGGGUGUGAUAGAUUCUAACGUUCGCAUACAACGGGUGUAAGCCAGAUUUACACAUGCGAAACACUUAGGUUGACUUGACGAGCCUAGCAUGUACAGACAUGGCCUCGGAACACAAGAGACCGAAAGGUCGAACAUGAGUUGUAUAGUAGAUACGAUCAACAUGGAGAUGUUCACCGAUGAUGACUAGUCCGUCUCACGUGAUGAUCGGACACGGCCUAGUUGACUCGGAUCAUGUAUCACUUAGAUGACUAGAGGGAUGUCUAUCUGAGUGGGAGUUCAUUAAAUAAUUUGAUUAGAUGAACUUAAUUAUCAUGAACAUAGUCAAAAGGUCUUUGCAAAUUAUGUCGUAGCUUACGCUUUAGUUCUACUAAGAUAUGUUCCUAGAGAAAAUUUAGUUGAAAGUUGAUAGUAGCAAUUAUGCGGACUGGGUCCGUAAACUGAGGAUUGUCCUCAUUGCUGCACAGAAAGCUUAUGUCCUUAAUGCGCCGCUCGGUGUGAUGAACCUCGAGCGUCGUUUGUGGAUGUUGCGAACAUCUGACAUACAUGUUUGAUGACUACGUGAUAGUUCAGUGCGUAAUGUUAAAACGGUAUAGAAUUGAGGCACCAAAGACGUUUUUGAAACGUCGCAGAACAUAUGAGAUGUUCCAAAGACUAAAAUUGGGAUUUCAGACUAGUGCCCAUGUCAAGAGGUAUGAGACCUCUGACAAGUUUCUUAAGCCUGCAAACUAAGGGAGAAAAGCUCAAUCAUUGAGCAUGUGCUCAGAUUGUCUAAGUACUACAAUCGCUUGAAUCGAGUGGGAGUUAAUCUUCCAGAUGAGAUAGUGAUGGUUCUCCAUAGUCACUGCCACCAAGCUAUUAGAGCUUCGUGAUGAACUAUAACAUAUCAGGGAUAGACAUGAUGAUCCUUGAGCAACUCGCGAUGUUUGACACCGCGAAAGUAGAAAUCAAGUAGGAGCAUCAAUUGUUGAUGGUUAGUAAAACCACUAGUUUCAAGAAGGGCACGGGCAACAAGGGAUACUUCAUGAAACGGCAAAUCAGUUGCAGCUCUAGUGAAGAAAGCCAAGGUUGAACCCAAACCCGAGACUAAGUGCUUCUGAGAUGAGGGGAACGGUCACUGAAGCAGAACUACCCUAGAUACUUCGUAGAUGAGAAGGCUGGUAAGGUCGACAGAAGUAUAUUGGAUAUACAUUAUAUUAAUGUGUAAUUUACUAGUACUCCUAGUAGCACCAGGGUAUUAGAUACCGGUUCGGUUGCUAAGUGUUGGUAACUCGAAAUAAAAGGCUACGGAAUAAACGGAGACUAGCUAAAGGUGAGAUGACGAUAUGUGUUGGAAGUGUUUCCAAGGUUGAUGUGAUCAAGCAUCGCAUGCUCCUUCUACCAUCGAGAUUGGUGUUAAACCUAAAUAAUUGUUAUUUGGUGUUUGCGUUGAGCAUAGACAUGAUUGGAUUAUGUUUAUCACAAUACGGUUAUUCAUUUAAGGAGAAUAAUGGUUACUCUGUCUAUUUGAAUAAUACCUUCAAUGGUCUUGCACCUAAAAUGAAUGGUUUAUUGAAUCUCGAUCGUAGUGAUACACAUGUUCAUGCCAAAAGAUAUAAGAUAGUAAUGAUAGUACCACAUACUUGUGGCACUGCCACUUGAGUCAUAUUGGUAUAAAACGCAUGAAGAAGCUCCAUGUUGAUGGAUCUUUGGACUCACUCGUUUUUGUAAAGAUUGAGACAUGCGAACCAUGUCUAUUAGUAUGAAGAAAGUCCAUACAAAUGGAUCGUUUGGACUCACUUGAUUUUGAAUCACUUGAGACAUGCAAAUCAUACCACAUGGACAAGAUGACUGAAAGGCCUCGUUUUCAGUAAGAUGGAACAAGAAAGCAACUUGUUGGAAGUAAUACAUUUUGUUGUGCGCAGUCCAAUGAGUGCUGAGGCAUGCAGUGGAUAUCGUUAUGUUCUUACUUCACAGAUGAUUUGAGUAGAUGCUGAGUGUAUUUACUUGAUGAAACACAAGUCUGAAUUAUUGAAAGAUUCAAGUAAUUUUAGAGUGAAAUUGUAGAUCGUCGUGACAAGAGGAUAAAAUGUCCGUGAUAUGUUCACAGAGAUGAAUAUCUGAGUUACGAGUUUGGCACACAAUUAAGAAAUUGUGGAAGAAAAUUCACGACUAAUACCGCCUGGAACACUAUAGUGUGAUGGUGUGUCCGAACAUCAUAACUGCACCCUAUUGGAUAUAGUGCAUACCAUGAUGUCUCUUAUCGAAUUACACUAUCGUUUAUGGGUUAGGCAUUAGAGACAACCGCAUUCACUUUAAAUAGAGCACCACGCAAUUCCGUUGAGACGACACCGUAUGAACUAUGGUUUAGAGAAACCUAAGCUCUCGUUUCUUAAAAGUUUGGGGCUGCGACGCUUAUGUGGAAAAGUUUCAGGCUGAUAAGUUCGAACCCAAAGCGGAUAAACGCAUCUUCAUAGAAUACCCAAAACAGUUGGGUAUACCUCCUAUUUCAGAUCUGGAAGCAAAAGUGAUUGUUUCUAGAAACGGGUCCUUUCUCGAGGAAAAGUUUCUCUCGAAAGAAUUGAGUGGGAGGAUGGUGGAGACUUGAUGAGGUCAUUGAACCGUCACUUCAACUAAUGUGUAGCAGGGCACAGGAAGUUGUUCCUGUGGCACCUACACCAAUUGAAGUGGAAGCUUAUGCUAGUGAUCAUGAAACUUCAGAUCAAGUCACUACCAAACCUCAUAGGACGACAAGGAUGCGUACUACUUCAGAGUGGUACGUAAUCCUGUCUUGGAAGUCAUGUUGUUGGACAACGAUGAACCUAUGAGCUAUGGAGAAGCGAUGGUGGGCCCGGAUUCCGACGAAUGGCUCGAGGCCAUAAAAUCCGAGAGAGGAUCCAUGUAUAAAAACAGAGUGUAGACUUUGGAAGAACUACUUGAUGGUCGUAAGGCUGUUGGGUGCAGAUGGAUUUUAAAAGGAAGACAGACAAUGAUGGUAAGUGUCACCAUUAAGAAAGCUCGACUUAUCGUUAAGAUGUUUUCCGGCAAGUUCAAGGAGUUGACUGCGAUGAGACUUUCUCACUCGUAGCGAUGCUAAGAGUCUGUUGGAAUUAUAUUAGCAGUUACUGCAUUAUUUAUGAAAUCUUGCAGAUAGGAUGUCAAAACAUUGUUUUCUCGACGAUUUUCUUGUGGAAAGGUUGUAUGUGAUACAACCAGAAGGUUUUGUCAAUCCUGAAAGAUGCUAACAAGUAUGCAAAGCUCCAGCAAUCCUUCUAAGGAAUGGAGUAAGCAUCUCGGAGUUGGAAUGUACGCUUUGAUGAGAUGAUCAAAGAUUUUGGGUUUAUACAAAGUUUAUGAGAAACUUGUAUUUCCAAAGAAGUGAGUGGGAGCACUAUAGAAUUUUUGAUGAGUAUAUGUUGUUAACAUAUUGUUGAUCAGAAAUGAUGUAGAAUUUCUGGAAACAUACAGGGUUAUUUGAAAAGUGUUUUUCAAUGGAAAACCUGGAUUAAGCUACUUGAACAUUGAGCAUCAAGAUCUAUAAGGAUAGAUCAAAAACGCUUAAUAGUACUUUCAAAUGAAUACAUACCGUGACAAGAUUUUGAAGGAGUUCAAAAUAGAUCAGCAAAGAAGGAGUUCCUGGCUGUGUUACAAGGUGUGAGUAUUGAGUAAGACUCAAGACCUGACCACGGCAGAAGAGAGAGAAAGGAUGAAGGUCGUCCCCUAUGCUUUAGACGUAGGCCCUACAGUAUGCUAUGCUGUGUACCGCACCUGAAGUGUGCCUUGCCAUGAGUUAGUCAAGGGGUACAAUAGUGAUCCAGGAAUGGAUCACAUGACAGCGGUCGAACUUAUCCUUAGUAACUAGUGGACUAAGGAAUUUUCUCGAUUAUGGAGGUGGUAAAAGAGUUCGUCAUAAAGGGUUACGUCGAUGCAAACUUUGACACUAAUCCGGAUGACUCUGAGUAGUAAACCGGAUUCGUAUAGUAGAGCAGUUAUUUGGAAUAGCUCCAAGUAGCGCGUGGUAGCUGCAUCUACAAGAUGACAUAGAGAUUUGUAAAGCACACACGGAUCUAAAUGUUGCAGACCCGUUGACUAAUAACCUCUCUCACAAGCGAGAUAUGAACAAACCCCAUGGGUGUUGGAUUCAUUACAAUCACAUAGUGAUGUGAACUAGAUUAUUGACUCUAGUGCAAGUGGGAGACUGUUGGAAAUAUGCCCUAGAGGUAAUAAUAAAAUGGUUAUUAUUGUAUUUCCUUGUUCAUGAUAAUUGUCUAUUGUUCAUGCUAUAAUUGUAUUAACUGGAAACCGUAAUACAUGUGUGAAUAAAUAGACCACAACAUGUCCCUAGUAAGCCUCUAGUUGACUAGCUCGUUGAUCAAUAGAUGGUUAUGGUUUCCUGACCAUGGACAUUGGAUGUCAUUGAUAACGGUAUCACAUCAUUAGGAGAAUGAUGUGAUGGACAAGACCCAAUCCUAAGCAUAGCACAAGAUCGUGUAGUUCGUUUGCUAAGAGCUUUUCUAAUGUCAAGUAUCAUUUCCUUAGACCAUAAGAUUGUGCAACUCCCGGAUACCGUAGGAAUGCUUUGGGUGUACCAAACGUCACAACGUAACUGGGUGGCUAUAAAGGUACACUACAGGUAUCUCCGAAAGUGUCUGUUGGGUUGGUACGAAUCGAGACUGGGAAUUGUCACUCUGUAUGACGGAGAGGUAUCUCUGGGCCCACUCGGUAAUGCAUCAUCAUAAUGAGCUCAAUGUGACUAAGGAGUUAGCCACGGGAUCAUGAGUUACAGAACGAGUAAAGAGACUUGCCGGUAACAAGAUUGAACGAGGUAUUGGGAUACCGACGAUCGAAUCUCGGGCAAGCAACAUGCCGAUUGACAAAGGGAAUUGUAUACGGGAUUGAUUGAAUCCCCGACAUCGUGGUUCAUCCAAUGAGAUCAUCGUGGAACAUGUGGGAGCCAAUAUGGGUAUCCAGAUCCCACUAUUGGUUAUUGGCCGGAGAGAUGUCUCGGUCAUGUCUGCAUGGUUCCCGAACCCGUAGGGUCUACACACUUAAGGUUCGGUGACGCUAGAGUUGAUAUGGGAAAUAGUAUGUGGUUACUGAAGGUUGUUCGGAGUCCCGGAUAGGAUCCCGGACGUCACGAGGAGUUCCGGAAUAGUCCGGAGGUAAAGAUUUAUAUAUGGGAAGUCAUCAUACGGUCACCGGAAGUAUUCGGGGGUAUGCCGGUAUUGUACCGAGGCCAUCGAAGGGGUUCCGGAGGUCCACCGGGAGGGUCCACCUGCCCCGGAGGGCCUUAUGGGCUGUAGGUGGAAGGGAACCAGCCCCUAAGUGGGCUGGGCACCAACCUCCCCCUAGGGCCCAUGCGCCUAGGGUUGGGGGAAACCCUGGAGGGGGCGCCCCCCUUGACUUGGGGGGCAAGCCACCCUCCCUGGCCGCCGCCCCUCCCACCAGAUGGGAUCUAAGGGGCCGGCCCCCCUCUCCCUUGCCCCUAUAUAUAGUGGAGGGGUGGGAGGGCAGCCGCACCCCUGGCCUGGCACAGCCCUCUCCUCCUCCAACUCCUCCUCUUCCUCCGUAGUGCUUAGCGAAGCUCUGCCGGAGAACCACGAGCUCCAUUGCCACCACGCCGUCGUGCUGCUGGAGUUCUCCCUCAACUUCUCCUCUCCCCUUGCUGGAUCAACAAGGAGGAGACGUCCCCGGUCUGUACGUGUGUUGAAUGCGGAGGCGCCGUCCGUUCGGCGCUAGAUCGGAUCUUCCGCGAUUUGAAUCGCUGCGAGUACGACUCCAUCAACCGCGUUCUUGUAACGCUUCCGCUUAGCGAUCUUCAAGGGUAUGAAGAUGCACUCCCUCUCUCUCGUUGCUAGCAUCUCCUAGAUUGAUCUUGGUGACACGUAGGAAAAUUUUGAAUUAUUACUACGUUCCCCAACAGUCAGGACCUCGAGCACUGUUUGCCGCGUCUCAAGAGGGAGCCCGGACUCCUGAAGCCUCAUAUGGUCCUGACUGCUGAGCAAAGCCCACAUCGGGCGAGAAUGGCGCUGAAGCGGAGCCACUCGGCGCCUGACGAACUCCUUCACCACCAUAGGCGUAGUCACACCGCGGUCCUUCAACCUCCUCAGCCUGAGCCAGACGGGGACAAGACGGGAGCUCGCGAGCCUCUCGUGGCCCCAACCGGAGUUGGGAACUGCAGGUGCUGACGGAGAAUGGAGCAGAGGGCUGAGCACCCUGGCGUCGACAAAUACCCACCGUGUCCGAAACUCGCUCGUGGAUAGAGGAAGCUCGAAGUCGAUCCCCGCGCCUACCGUCGCAGCCACCGCUUGGAAGCUCACGCACCCCGAGCUUUGCCGAGGAUCCAUCAGAUGCAAUGAGAAGAAAUGACGGAGAAGGGCCACGGAAGGGGCAAUGCCCACCAUGGCCUCACACACAAAGGCAAAGACGGCGAGGAGAGUCACGGAUUGGGGGUCGAGAUGCAGCAUGUGGAUCUGGUAAUGUUCAAGCACCGCCUUGAAGAAGGCGGAGAAAGGGGGAAUCAGGCCGGCCCAAAGGGCAUCGAUGAAGAUUGGGACCUCGGUGGUUGCCCGGUCAAUGCGAGCGCGGGACGCAGGCCAAGCCACCGUCCUUCCCCACUCGUUGAAGCUGGUGGCGAGCAUGGGACGCACCUUGCCCAUGGCCUCAUCGUUGAGCACCGGCGACCGGCCAACUGUGGGCUCGACGGCCAGAGGCACACUUGUCGAAGACAGAGGCUUCUUCCCCUUGUCCGCUUGUUUCGGCGCCAUGGCGAUGAAGUGAGCAGAGCUCGGGUCAAAUCGGAAGGAAGAGCAGAGUCUCGGGGAGACAGAGGAAUUGGGGAAGUAUGGCGUGGGCGAUGGAAGAAUAACUGUGUAGGGUGCGGUGGCCGCCUAGCCAGGCAGGUAUCAAGGCAGCGUGGGGAAGCGGAGACGCCCACGUCUAAUCAACUGCCACGCGUCGACCAAGGCCGCAGGCUUUUGGGGCCCGCGGCGCUCCGCACUUAACCUUUGGCUUCGCCUCGAAGCCAAGCCCAAGCGCGCCUUGGGCCCGGGGGCUACUGUCGGCGUUCUAGGAACGGGGGUCCCCAGACUUGCCUGCCUGCGGCCCACGGCGUGGCUGUGCUAGCAGGCAUGUACGGCCCAUCUUCAUCAACAAGGCAUCCAAGACCCUCGCGAGGGGCCAAGCCUCGCGAGGCGUACGACACAAGACCACCUCAGGAGCGGCCUCACCAGGUUGGCUCGCGAGGGGUGGAGAGAUCAAGGCAAGGCAAACCUCGCGAGGUUCUCGUGACGUGAGCCAUGACGAUCGAGACCAGGCGGGCGCCAGCGCGAGCAGUGUCCUUGUUUCCCCUUUGGUGCUAAGGAAGCAGGCGCAUGCGCAGAGUACCGAGGCGUCAAGCAAAGGUUUCCAUAUCGGUGCAACAAGACCAAGACCAGCAGGACGGCAAGACGGAGGUCACCAUGGAGCCCAAGGCGGCGUCACCACCAGAGCCUUUUGCAGGCGAAGACCGCUUUUGUCAGGAUAAGUUGUACUAGUUGUCCCCUUUCAAAUUGGCCGUUGUUGGCUCCCUUCCCGCUCAAUAUUUGGGAAGAGGACCAGGGCCUAUAUAAGUAGAACCAGCCACCACCGUAGGGGACACCAAGUUUGGAGCUCACAAGCAAGCCUGAGCUGAGUGAAUCCACACACACAAGUUCGCCAAGCACAAGAGCACCUCAACCUCAGGAGGCUGUUCUUCCCCUUGUACUGUUCAUCAUCAGCCCAAGAGGCAAUCCACCACCACCACACUAGAGUAGGGUAUUACACCACAACGGUGCCCAAACCACUAUAAAUCUUGUGUCUCUUGUGUUGUGAGUUCGUUGAGUUCGUCUUCGAGAUCUUAGCAAGCUAGGGAGUGGAUCGGUAGGGGGGAAAGAACUUCGCACGCACCCCAGAGUUCGAACCUUAAGGGUUUUGCCAGAACCCGUGAUCCGACAAUCGCUACCACUUUCUUAAUGUCAAAUACAAAUUCCUUCAACCAUGAGAUCAUGCAACUCCCGGAUACCAGAGGAAUACCUUGUGUGCUAUCAAAUGUCACAAUGUAAUUGGGUGAUCAUAAAGAUGCUCUACAGGUAUCUCCAAAGGUGUCUGUUGAGUUGGCAUGAAUCAAGAUUGGGAUUUGUCACUCCGUAUAUCGGAGAGGUAUCUCUGGGCCCUCUAGGUAAUACAACAUCACGAGAAUCUUGUAAGCAAAUUGACUAAGGAGUUAGUUACGACAUGAUCUAUUACAGAAUGAGUAAAGUGACUUGCCAGUAACGAGAUUCAACUAGGUAUGAAGAUACCGACGAUCGAAUCUCAGGCAAGUAACAUACCGACAGACAAAGAGAAUUACGUAUGUUGUCAUAAGGUUCGACCGAUAAAGAUCUUCGCGGAAUAUGUAGGAAUCAAUAUGGGCAUACAUGUCCUGCUAUUGGUUAUUGACCGGAGAGGUGUCUCGGUCAUGACUACAUAAUUCCCGAACCCGCAGGGUUGCACGCUUAUGGUUGUCGCUUUAUUGUAUGAAAUGCAAUCGCCAUGUAAUUGCUUUACUUUAUCACUAAGCGGUAGCGACAGUCGUAGAAGCAAUAGUUGGAGAGACGACAACGAUGCUACGAUGGAGAUCAAGGUGUCAAGCCGGUGACGAUGGGGAUCAUGACGGUGCUUUGGAGAUGGAGAUCAAAGGCACAAGAUGAUGAUGGCCAUAUCAUGUCACAUAUUUUGAUUGCAUGUGAUGUUUAUCCUUUAUACAUCUUAUUUUGCUUAGUACGACAGUAGCAUUAUAAGAUGAUCCCUCACUAAAUUUCAAGGUAUAAGUGUUCUCCCUGAGUAUGCACCGUUGCUACAGUUCAUCAUGCUGAGACACCAUGUGAUGAUCGGGUGUGAUAAGCUCUACGUUCACAUACAACGGGUGCAAGCCAGUUUUGCACGUGCAAAAUACUCAGGUUAAACUUGACGAGCCUAGCAUAUGCAGAUAUGGCCUCGGAACACUAAGACCUAAAGGUCGAGCGUGAAUCAUAUAGUAGAUAUGAUCAACAUAGUGAUGUUCACCAUUGAAAACUACUCCAUCUCACGUGAUGAUCGGACAUGGUUUAGUUGAUCUGGAUCACGUGAUCAUUUAGAUGACUAGAGGGAUGUCUAUCUAAGUGGGAGUUCUUAAGUAAUAUGAUUAAUUGAACUUUAAUUUAUCAUGAACUUAGUCCUGAUAGUUUUCCAUAUCUAUGUUGUAGAUCAAUAGCUCGCGUAUAGCUCCCCUGUUUUAUUUUUGAUAUGUUCCUAGGGAAAAAUAAGUUGAAAGAUGAUAGUAGAAAUGAUGUGGACUGGGUCCGUGAGCUGAGGAUUAUCCUCAUUGCUGCACAGAAGAAUUAUGUCCUUGAUGCACCGCUAGGUAACAGACCUAUUGCAGGAGCAGAUGCAGACAUUAUGAACGUUUGACAAGCUCGGUAUGAUGACUACUUGAUAGUUUAGUGCACCAUGCUUUACGGCUUAGAACCGGGACUUCAAAAACGUUUUGAACGACAAGGAGCAUAUAAGAUGUUCCAAGAGUUGAAAUUGGUAUUUUAGACUCAUGCCCGAGUCAAGAGGUAUGCGACCUCUGACAAGUACUUUGCCUACAAGAUGGAGGAGAAUAGCUCAACCAGUGAGCAUGUGCUUAGAUUGUCUGAGUACUACAAUCGCUUGAAUCAAGUGGGAGUUAAUCUUCCAGAUAAAAUAGUGAUUGACAGAGUUCUCUAGUCACUAUCACCAAGUUACUGGAACUUCGUGAUGAACUAUAUGCAAUGGAUGACGAAAACGAUUCCCGAGCUCUUCGUGAUGCUGAAAUCGACGAAGGUAGAAAUCAAGAAAAGCAUCAAAUGUUGAUGGUUCACAAGACCACUAGUUUCAAGUAAAAGGGCAAGGGAAAGAAAGGGAACUUCAAGAAGAAUGGCAAGCAAGUUGCCACUCCCAUGAAGAAGCCCAAAGCUAGACCCAAGCCUGAAACUAAGUGCUUCUACUGCGAAGGAAAUGGUCACUGGAAGCGGAACUACCCCAAAUACUUGGCGGAUAAGAAGGAUGGAAAAGUGAACAAAGGUAUAUUUGAUAUACACGUUAUUGAUGUGUUGCUUACUAAUGCUCGUAGUAGCGCCUGGGUAUUUGAUACUGGUUCGGUUGCUCAUAUUUGUAACUCGAAACAGGAGCCGCAAAAUAAACGAAGAUUGGCUAAGGGCGAGGUGACGAUGUGUGUUGGAAGUGUUUCCAAGAUUAAUAUGAUCACCAUCGCACGCUCCCUCUACCUUCGGGAUUAAUGUUGAGCCUAAUAAAUGUUAUUUGGUGUGUGCGUUGAGCAUGAACAUGAUUAGAUCGUGUUUAUCGCAAAUACGGUUAUUCAUUUAAGUCAGAGAAUAAUUGUUGUUUUGUUUACAUGAAUAAAACUUUAUAUGGUCAUACACCCAAUGUAAAUGGUUUAUUGAAUCUCGAUCGUAGUGAUACACAUAUUCAUAAUAUUGAUGCCAAAAGAUGCAAAGUUGAUAAUGGUAGUGCAACAUACUUGUGGCACUGCCGUUUAGGUCAUAUUGUUGUAAAGCGCAUGAAGAAACUCCAUGCGGAUGGACUUUUGGAAGCACUUGAUUAGGAAUCAUUUGAUACUUGCGAACCAUGCCUCAUGGGUAAGAUGACUAAAACUCUGUUCUCCUGAACAAUGGGGUGAGCUAAUGACUUAUUGGAAAUAAUACAUACCGAUGUAUGCGUUCGAUGAGUGUUGAAGCACGCGGCGGGCAUCAUUAUUUUCUGGCCGUCACAGAUGAUUUAAGCAGGUAUGGAUAUAUCUACUUGAUGAAACUCAAGUCUGAAACAUUUGAAAAGUUCAAGGAAUUUUAGAGUGAAGUGGAGAAUCAUUGUAACAAGAAAAUAAAGUUUCUACGAUCUGAUCACGGAGGCGAAUAUUUGAGUUACAAAUUUGGCCUUCAUUUAAAACAAUGUGGAAUUGUUUCACAGCUCACUCCACCUAGAACACCACAGCAUAAUGGUGUGUUUGAACGUCGUAACUGUACUUCAUUAGAUAUGGUGUGUUCUAUAAUGUCUCUUAUCGAUUUGCCUUUAUCAUUUUGGGGUUAUGCAUUAGAGACAGCUGCAUUCAUGUUAAAUAGGGCACCGUCUAAAUCCGUUGAGGCGACACCAUAUGAACUUUGGUUUGGCAAGAAACUAAGAUGUGGUUUCUUAAAGUUUGGGGAUGUGACACUUAUGUCAAAAGGCUUCAGCCUGAUAAGCUCGAACCCAAAUCGGAGAAGUGUGUCUUCAUAGGAUACCCUAAAGAAACUAUUGGGUACACCUUCUACCACAGAACUGAAGGCAGUAUCUUUGUUGCUAAGAAUGGGUCCUUUCUAGAGAAGGAGUUUCUCUCGAAAGAAGUGAGUGGGAGGAAAGUAGAACUUGAUGAGGUAAUUGUACCUUCUCUCGAAUUGGAAAGUAGAACAUCAGAGAAAACCAUUCCCGUGAUGCCUACACCAACUAGAGAGGAAGCUAAUGAUAAUGAUCAUGAAACUUUAGAUCAAGUUACUAUUGAACUUCGUAGGUCAACCAGAACACGUUCCGCACGAGAGUGGUACGGUGAUCCUGUCCUUGAAGUCAUGUUGUUAGACAACGGCGAACCUACGAACUAUGAAGAAGCUAUGAUGAGCCCAAAUUCUGACAAAUGCCUUGAGGCCGUGAAAUCUGAGAUAGGAUCCAUGUAUGAAAACAAAGUAUGGACUUUGGUGGACUUGCCGAUGAUCGACAAGCCAUUAAGAAUAAAUGGAUCUUCGAGAGGAAGACGGACGUUGAUGGUAAUAUCACUGUCUGCAAAGCUCGACUUGUCGCAAAAGGUUUUUGACAAGUUCAAGGGGUUGACUACGAUGAGACUUUCUCACCCGUAGAGAUGCUUAAGUCUGUCCGAAUCAUGUUAGCAAUUGCCGCAUUUUAUGAUUAUGAAAUCUAGCAAAUGGACGUCAAAACUGCAUUCCUUAAUGGGUUCCUUAAAGAAGAGUUGUAUAUGAUGCAACCAGAAGGUUUUGUCGAUCCUAAAGGUGCUAACAAAGUAUGCAAGCUCCGGCGAUCCAUUUAUGGACAGGUGCAGGCAUCUCGGAGUUGGAAUAUACGCUUUGAUGAGAUGAUCAUAGCAUAUGGUUUUAUACAGACUUAUGAUGAAGCCUGUAUUUAUAAGAAAGUGAGUGGGAGCUCUGUAGCAUUUCUGAUAUUAUAUGUGGAUGACAUAUUGUUGAUUGGAAAUGAUAUAGAAUUUUUGGAUAGCAUAAAAGGAUACUUGAAUAAGAAUUUUUCAAUGAAAGACCUCGGUGAAGCUACUUACAUAUUGAGCACCAAGAUCUAUAGGGAUAGAUCGAGACGCUUAAUAGGACUUUCACAAAGUACAUACCUUGGCAAAGUUUUUGAAGAAGUUCAAAAUAGAUUAGUCAAAGAAAGGGUUCUUGCCUGUGUUGCAAGGUGUGAAGUUGAGUAAGACUCAAACCCGACCACGGCAGAAGAUAGAAAGAGAAUGAAAGUCAUUCCCUAUGCCUCAGCCAUAGGUUCUAUAAAGUAUGCCAUGCUGUGUACCAGACCUAUUGUAUGCCUUGCCAUGAGUUUGGCAAGGGGGUACAAUAGUGAUCCAAGAGUGGAUCACUGGACAACGGUCAAAAUUAUCCUUAGUUACCUAAGAGGACUAAGGAAAUGUUUCUCGGUUAUGGAGGUGAUAAAGCGUUCAUCGUAAAGGGUUACAUCGAUGCAAACAUUGAUACCGAUUCGGAUGACUCUGAGUCUCAAUAUGAAUAUGUAUUGAAAGUGGGAGCAAUUAGCUAGAGUAGCUCCAUGCAGAGCAUUGAAGACAUAGAAAUUUGAAAAAUACAUAUGGAUCUGAUAUGGCAGAUCGUUGACUAAACCUCUCUCACAAACAAAACAUGAUCACACCUUAGUACUCUUUGGGUAUUAAUCACAUGUCGAUGUGAACAAGAUUAUUGACUCUAGUAAAGUCUUUAAGUGUUAGUCACAUGGAGAUGUGAAUUAUAGGUGUUAAUCACAUGGCGAUGUGAACUAGAUUAUUGACUCUAGUGCAAGUGGGAGACUGAUGGAAAUAUGCCCUAGAGGAAAUAAUAAAGUUGUUAUUAUUAUAUUUCCUUAUUCAUGAUAAAGGUUUAUUAUUCAUGCUAGAAUUGUAUUGACCAGAAACUUAAAUACAUGUGUGAAUACAUAAACAAAUAUCGUGUCCCUAGUGAGCCUCUAGACUAGCUCGUUGAUCAAGAGAUGAUUAAGGUUUCCUAACCAUAGACAUGUGUUGUCACUUGAUAACGGGAUCACAUCAUUAGGAGAAUGAUGUGAUGGACAAGACCCAUCCGUUAGCAUAGCAUAUGAUCGUUCAGUUUAUUGCUACCACUUUCUUAAUGUCAAAUACAUAUUCCUUCGACCAUGAGAUCAUGCAACUCCCGGAUACCGGAGGAAUACCUUGUGUGCUAUCAAACGUCACAAAGUAAUCGGGUGAUCAUAAAGACGCUCUACAGGUAUCUCCGAAGGUGUCUGUUGAGUUCGCAUGACUCAAGAUUGGGAUUUGUCACUCUGUAUAUCGGAGAGGUAUCCUUGGGCCCUCUCGAUAAUACAACAUCACAAGAAGCUUGCAAGCAAAGUGACUAAGGAGUUAGUUACGAGAUGAUGUAUUACAUAACGAGUAAAGAGACUUGCUAGUAACGAGAUUGAACUAGGUAUGAAGAUACCGAUGAUCGAAUUUCAGGCAAGUAACAUACCGACAGACAAAGCGAAUUACGUAUGUUGUCAUAAGGUUCGACCGAUAAAGAUCUUCAUGGAAUAUGUAGGAAUCAAUAUGGUCAUCCAGGUCCCACUAUUGGUUAUUGACCGAAGAGGAGUUUCGAUCAUGACUACAUAAUUCCCGAACCCGGAGGGUCGCACGCUUAACGUUCGUUGACGCUAGAGUAGUAUUGGGAUAUUUGAUGAGUGGUAACCAAUUUUUGUUCGGAGUCCCGGAUGAGAUCCCAGACAUCACGAGGAGUCUCGGAAUGGUUGAGAGGUAAAGAUUUAUAUAUGGGAAGUCAUAUUUUGGGUUCCGAAAAAAGGUGCAAUUUUUUCGGUAUUGUACUAGGAAGCUUGCAGAAGGUUCCGGAGGAUUCCGGAGGGGUCCAGAAGUCCACAGGUGGUUCCACUCCGACCCAAUGGCUAGCAUGGCUGCAGGGAAGUGCCCUGGCUUUAUUGGGCUAGACGCACCUAGUCCUCAAAAGCCCAUGUGGCUAGGGAAGGCAAAAAAGGAAGGAGUCCUAGUAGGAAUAGGAUUGGACUUGGAGUCCAAGUCCUCUCCCCCUUAGCUGCGCCCUAGGGCUUGGAGAGGCUGUUUCCCAUGCACCUUCACCUAUAUAUAGAGGAGAGAGGGCACCCCAAGAGGCCACACCAAGCCCUUGGCGCCCCUCUCUCUCCCAUUACUCCAUAGUUCCACCGCCUCGUCCAAGCGACGCUUAGCGAAGCGCUGUCGCUGCUCCACCACCACCAUCACCACCACGCCGUCGUGUUGGUUGUGAUCCCAUCUACUUCUCUUCUCCUGCUCGCUGGAUCAAGAAGGAGGAGACGUCAUCGAGUCGCACGUGUGCUAAACUCGGAGGUGCCAUCCGUUCGGCACUAGAUCGGUUGGAUCAUGAUCGGAUCGCAAAGAGUACGACUACAUCAACCGCGUGAUAAACUCUUUCGCUUAGCGAUCUAUAAGCGUAUGUAGAUGCUCUCCCCAUCUCGUAGCUAUGCAUCUCCAUGGAUAGAUAUUGCGUGUACAUAGAAUUGUUUUUGUUUUCCAUGCAACGUUCCCCAACAGAACCGUUUGUUGCCUAACUCGAGACCACCUUGGAUAGGCUUUUUCCUCGUGGGUCCCAAAUGUCAGAAUCCAAAUCUGUCAUGGCCAUGCAGCCUUUGUUAUGAAAAUUUACAACCCAUUUGGUGUGCUAGUCCAAAAUAAGUUUGUGGGUGCUGAUGGGGGCUAAUCACUUGGGUUCUGUAAUGCACAGUGAGCUCAAGCAGCCGGCGAGAGUGAUGUUUAUUUCCCUUGGUUGGGAUUUGUUACAAUAUUUCUCCCUUAAUUAAACAAAUGGCAAGCCAUUUGCCUUGUUUCAAAGAAAAUAUGACAGUCACAGCCGAGUUGAAAAGGGCAACAACAUCUAACUCCAGCUUACAAACUGUACAAAGCACGACGGUUAAUUGUUCAUCAGGUUUAGACAAAACACAGAUUGAAAAGUGCAACAACAUCUAACUCUAGCACUUUUUUCGGCAGUCACAAUCAAAUGGGUCGGUUAGGUCCAUAGAAUGAACAUCCUGAUCGUAAAAUUUACUAGAUUAUGACCACAAGAUGUUGUAAAUAGAAGUCUGGCACGUUCAGAAGCCCUUUUGUCCACCUGAAACUCCUCUUUUUGCUCUUCUACAUACCCAUCCGUCAAAACCAUGUUGCUGAUAAACUUAAGCAUGAUGGACAAUAGUAACCUCGCUCAGCAGGAAGAAUGUGACAAAUCUAGUGUUUGCAUGGUUGGCUACAUAUCGUUCCAACGUUAUUGUCCUCAAUCGAAUGUCAUGAGAACUCGGAAAAUCCCCGUUCUUACGAAACCACUGAUUGGUUAGAACUUUCUUACCCCGUCCUAUUGCCUAAAUAGACAUGAAGAUUGAAAACAGUUAAGGUCUAAAAAAAGAGUGUCGAAAGUGCAAUAGUUGAACGGUUAUUUCUAGUACACUAUAUGCGGGCUUCCAAUGUGCGUGAAAUUAUCACCUUUAUAUACAACUUCUCCGGACAUGGAAAGCAUUGCAGCAAGCCAAUAAUCUUGUUCAGAUCAAAACUAUUCAUAUGGAUAUAUAAGAUCUUGACAGAAUCCAGCACCAUUGAUAGGCUAUCCAUGGACAAACUCUUCAUUGAGCAUAGAACAUAAUAUUAGUACAAAAAGUGUACUCCAAGAUGAUAUAGAACUUAUGCGCGGAAAUUUAAAAUGUAGCUUAUGAUUACAAGUGAGGAUGAUAAUAUACAGUACCUGAAGAACUGUGGAGCCAAACACCAUCUUGAAAUGAGCAUAGAGAUCAUGUAUUACACCCAAGGUCUCCAGUUUAGGUGCAGAGACUACAGUUAUUUCCGACGGUGAAUAACGAGAAUCAAGGAUCAACCUUUGAAGUGAAGGGGCAUCUUCGAUGAUGAGCUGCCUUCUGUCAAAAGAAAUACCAAUUCUUACAAGGUUAGGCGACUUUAUUUGGAGACAACAGAUUCUAACUGCCAAAACAAGCACCAAGCACUCCAGGGCAAGGCAACUGGAGUGGAUGAUGUUGUGCAAUGAGGCCUCCGACAUACAAACCCGCACAAGUGAAAGUUUGUUGAGAAGUGGGAGUCGAAGCUUUUGUACCAAAUUUUCUGGUAGGAUGAACAGCGCAAAGGUGGCGGUGUGGAGAAAGGAGGAAAACCCCAAGAUGGACAUCGCCGCUGCUCCCUGAACCCAAGAAAUUCUGCCUCGUUCCCGUGAAACCAAGCGGCCCACCCGUAUUAAGGCAUCGACUCGAACUCAAUCCCUCUCCCGUUUACUACGACAUGGACCCCGCACGCCGUAGUACUCCUCAAAACCCUACCCGCCGCAUGCAUCAUCGGUUUUCUUAAAGAGGACGAGGGAGAAGCGGAUUUAUAGUGGAGGCUCCUACCCUAGGGCGCCCUAAGUAGCUGCCGCACGCAUCAUUGGUCUUCUUUUUUUCUUUAUGCUCUUGCGCCUUAGAGUGAAAUGAUGGUUGCUUCGUCUGUCCGGCUUAAUGCGGGAAAGGUGGGGCUUUGUGAUUUGACCCCUCAUCGCUCAUUUACUACUACUGCGGCGCUACGACCGGGCUACCUCCAAGUCCAAGCGCUGCUCCGGACUAUAAUUUGGUGCAUCGCACAUGGAACAAGACAGUGGAUAACCCACAUGUCGGCCAAAGGGGUCUUGUAAGUGUGUCGCCAUUUCCUGUGCGGACUGACCCUACUAAGUUGCUACGCCAACGCGACAGGAGCAGCCUGCCACUUGGUUUUGCUCAUUGGUGAAUCCUGACUAUAUUGAUCUAAAAAGAUAGUAUAUAGAUUAGCAAAAAUGAGGUGAUUUUACCCAGCGGUGGGCGGGGGAGCAUGGCCUGUCAUGCGGUCCCACAUGUCAUGAUGUACCAAGUCGAUGCACAUCCUCUUGAGGCAAAACAAUGGCAGAAGCAAUACAUGGUUUUCUUGUAGGAGAUGACGGAGAAGCGGAUUCAGCGAAGUGUGAAAUAAUGGUUGCUACGUCCGUCUGCGGGAAAGGUGCGGCUUUGUGAUUUGACGUAUCAUUGCUCAUUACUACUACUGGGGCGCUACGACUGGGGUGCGUCCCCCGUGUUGUUCUGCACUAUUAUUUAGUGCAUGACAUGUCGACCCGGUUCCUAUAUGUCCCACAUGUCGGCGAGAGGAAGUACAACAUUCAUGAAAGCAAGCGUCUCCACUCUUAGGACGAUAGAGGAGUACAAGACAUGGCUUGGUUUUUGCUGCUUCGCGCGAUCCAUCGAUACAAACCCAGACUAAAAAAGGCGAGGGCGGGUCUUUUCGUGCGCGGUAGGAAGGGGAGUUUGGCAUAGUCUGUUCAACAGACGAUAGAAAGAUGUGAUGAAAUGCUUGAAUGUGUAUUGGGCCCUUUUUUCUUUAUUUUUUUUCCAAGUGGACCCUUUCAGAUCACUACAACUACUAGCGUCCACGGUGUUGAUUACUGGUUUAUUGGUCCCCUUUGUAAUUUGUGCUAAAGUUUGGCCAAAGAUUUAAUUGAUAAAAUGUUAGUGCAUGUCAACAUAAAUCAUAUCAUUGGAUUCGUAUUUGAACAUAAUUUUCAAUGAUAUAAUUUUUUAUGACAUGCAUUAACAUUUUGUUAGUUAAAUAUAUGGUCAAAAUUGGCACAAAAUAUGAUGUGGAACGACAAAUCAGGAUGGAGGUACCCCCACACGGUCGAUCCAGCGCGCUGUAGUAGUACCUUCCUUUUUUCUGCUCGGAUUGCCCAAUGAGCACCAAGCAAAAAGUGCAUGCAUUGGCCUAGACACAUGUAGCCAUCAACACGAGUAAUCAAUUCCUAUUCACAUGACCUUGUUUUUCUGGCUGCAUGGGGAAGAACAACGAGGCAGGAAGGGAAACAAGCAAAUAAGGUUGAGCGACUUAGUUUUGGGAAAAUCUGAUUUUACGGAGUACGUACCCACUAUGGAGGUAGUACUACUUACUACUCACUCCUUUUCGGUUUAUAAGGCUCAUCAAAAAAUAGUUUUCCUGUUUUAUAAGUCUCAAUUCUACUACUUACCAUCACAUGUUUGGAUUUCGAGGUGCAUUAAAUCACCCGAUGCAAGUACUAUCAAGAGAAAACUCACCAAUGCAUGUAGAAGUUCAUGGAAAUUUAGUGGUCAUGCAUGCAUGCAUUGUAAUUAAUGCAUCGGUAAACAUAGAUUUUUGAGAAAAAUGAGCGUACUAAUUAAGUCCUUGUGCAAACUACGAAAUUUAUUCCACCACUCACCGUCUACCUUCAUUGGAGAGAUUUUGAAACUGAGCCUUCUAAACCAAAAAGGAGGGACUAGUAACAUAGACUAGGGUAGCUUGAUGUAGCACGGACUCCAAGGAAAUUGUUGUAGUACUACUCCUCCACUUGAGGUCAUCCACUUGAGGGAAAAUUGCUACUGUCCUAUAAAACUCUGCGCUUGGAGGGCCAACACGUGUCUACAAGAAUAAAGUUGCGUAGCAGACAUCAGCACGUGUCAACCGUUUCCUGCAAAAUUCUGAGUAACUGAACAGAAUGCGAAGGGUUUGAGGGAGGGCAACCGCCAAAACAGGUGAAGCAAUUGAGGAAGAUUUUAUUCGCGACCAAGGACGUCGGAAGGAAAUCUCCUUCAGAUCAAGUGCAUGCUUAUGACACGAAGAUCAGAGAGAAAAACGGAAUAGGAAUUGAAACGAAAACACAAAAGAAAAACAACUGAAAAAGAGAGCAAGAACACUACGAACAAAAACAAGAAAGCAGAAGCACCAACAAUGAUUGCACUCGGGGCAUAGGAUGAGAGUGUGAUAUCCCUGAGAGUGUUUCCUGCAAGAAAUGAUUAGUUCUUCUUCACAACCCACACCUGUGUGGGAGGUGAUGACCUCAUUUGCUUCACCUGGCUUAGGAUAUUUCUUCGACGUGACACCUGAGUACUAUGAUAAUAAUCAUAUGAAUAUGCAUUGAAGUUGCUUCCUGAUGCAUUAGUGUAAUGAUUAGAUGAUAUGCGCAAGUACUCCUUCUGACGCAAGUGAGGGUGAUGAUCAUUCGAGAAUGAUGAUUGAUUCGGCUGCGAAUUGUAGCCAUUUCCUCGUCAAGGAUUAUCCUGCACAAUCAGAUUAGCAGUAACACAUAGAUUUUCAAUGAUAUUUUUCUUCACCCAAAUUUGCUUCUUGGGAGAGCUUGGCCUGCAGUUAGUUCCAACAUAUUGAGCGAAAACCUUACCAUUCUAUUGCUUGAAAAGUUUGUAAUUUGAGUCGGUUUCAAUAGAAAUGGGCGAAAGAUAACCAGAUAGAAUUUCAGGUUCAAGGGUUUAACUAUUUGCUCGAAUCCAAGUUGUACGAGGAUAUUGUUCGGGAGUCCAGUACGAACCAUCCACAUUAAGUUUCUUUUUGAAACCUAAUCCUUCCUUCUGAGGAUUUUUGUGAAGAAUUGACUUCUUGAGCACAUCACAUAGGGUUUGAUGCCCUUUCAGGCUCCCUAGCAUUCCAGUCUCAAGUAAGCCUCUUAACCUGCAAUUUUCUUCAGUAAGAGCAGCAAAAUCCUCGGAAGAGGGGUUAGUGGUGCCAUUAGAAGUAGUGGUGUUCUCUUUCACAGCAUUGGAAGUUUCAGCAUGAGAAUCUGCAUUGCUACGUUCUAGGCAAGUUAAGCAUGGGGUACAAAACCAUCAGGAAGUUGAACAGAUUGCCCGGCGAAGAGAGAAGCUUUUUCUAAAGCCAUUUCUUUAUGAGACACUCUUUCAGUGACACGAGUUCUUGAUUCCUGCUGAGGAGUUCAUUUGAUAAACUCUCGUAGUCAACUGCAAGUGAGUCAUAUCAAAUGGUAAGAUUAUCAAUACUUGAUGAAAAAGCAUCUUGCUCUUCAAUCAACUUUUGAUUCUUCUCCAUCUCUUCGACCAGUAAUCCUUCAGUUUUUUCUGAGAUUUCUUUCAAGCAUUUCAAGUUCAUCGUGUUGAGAUUUAGCAAUUUUGACCAGCUUGGCAUAAGAUAUGUACUCAGGAGAGCAUUCAUCAAUGGUCCUUAGGUGUUUGGCAGAUACCUGAUCCUUUGAGGAUUUUGCCAUGAGGCAAAAGGCGAUUGGUUCAUCAUUGCUUGAUUCAUGAUCACUUGAAUCAUCAUCAGUGUCUGAGUUGGUGACUUUCUUUGAUGAUUCAAUAGCAACGUAGGCAUUACUUCUCCCAAUCAUCUUGUAGAAUUCUUCUUAUUUGGAAUCAGUAUCCGUGGCUUCUUCUUCAGAUUCUACUGUCAAGUCUGCAUAUGCUCUGUUCAGCCGUGAUAUCCUCUUCAUAUUUGAUUCGAUGGCUGCUAUGGCCUUAGUGUCAAUGAUUGGUCUCUUCAAAGAUACAGGCAAGAAAGAAUGAAGUGUGCAAGACAAAAGAUAUGGUUGCUCAUAGUUAGUGGACGGCUUUUGUCGUUUGAGAGCAACACACCUCCGAAGCCUUUGAGAGAGAAUCCUUGUGAGGACAAAACCCAAAACACCCAGAGCCCAAAGAGUGUUUGGCAUCACUGAAGUCUUUCUGUCCGCGUGAUCUAAAGACUUAUUACACUUGAAGACUGUGAUCUUCCAGUCGGUUAGGCGUCGCGUUCUGAGGAUCCAAGAGUCAUUGUGGAUCGCCGGUGAACGAAGUCUGUGAAGGUUUGGAAGUCUACCUUGAAGACUUACCUGAGUGAUUGGGCGAGGACUAAGUGACCUUAGCUCAAGGGGAAUAAGGUGAAGACACGGUCUUCUGAGUUAAAUCUCAGCCUCCCUAACCAGACGUACAGUUGUCACGGUAACUGGAACUGGUCUACCAAAUCAUUGUCUUCAUCAAGCAACUGGUUCUAUCAGUUUUGCUUCGUGAAGUCAUUGUUUGCCUGCUCCGAUUGACUUCUUUGUGUGAAGACAUUCACUCUGAUUGCAUGGUUGGCUUCAUACUAUCUUCCAGUUCUGAUCUAUUCUACCUGGCCGCUAUUUGUCUUCGUGUUUAAUCUGUUCUGUCUCUUUGACUUUGGCUAGGCUAGUGUAGUUUAUCUUCCGCUGCAUACUGUGUAGGUGUUAUUUGCUUGUUUNNNNNNNNNNNNNNNNNNNNNNNNNNNNNNNNNNNNNNNNNNNNNNNNNNNNNNNNNNNNNNNNNNNNNNNNNNNNNNNNNNNNNNNNNNNNNNNNNNNNNNNNNNNNNNNNNNNNNNNNNNNNNNNNNNNNNNNNNNNNNNNNNNNNNNNNNNNNNNNNNNNNNNNNNNNNNNNNNNNNNNNNNNNNNNNNNNNNNNNNNNNNNNNNNNNNNNNNNNNNNNNNNNNNNNNNNNNNNNNNNNNNNNNNNNNNNNNNNNNNNNNNNNNNNNNNNNNNNUUUCACUUUGUGAUAUUGGGAUUACCACAUUGCAAGUUUUUUGUUGUCGUUUGGAAGUUGCAAGACAUGCUCCUUUAUUCAUAUCUUUUGUCUUGCACACUUCAUUCUUUCUUGCAUGUAUGUUUAUCUUAUUACAUAUUGCAAGAUUUCUAUCCUCGUCGAUAUAGUUUUCAUGUGUUGAUCUAUUAGUAGAUGUUAUGCUGCUAUCUAACCUUUUUAGCACGGAAUUAUCUCCUACAAAUAGGUGUGCAUGCUAACUAUAUUCUUGUGAUUGCAUCACAUACUUAACACCUUUACUACCUAUUGUUGUCAAUAUUCCUUUUCAUUUAGGAUGUACAUUCGCUCUGAUGCAUUCCACCAAGUUUCAUGUGCUAUAGAAGAGUAUCGCGUAAACCUAAUCGAUUGUGCAUUUGCAUUGAAACACAAUUUUUUUAAUAAUAUAGUAUAAAUUUAGAAGAGGGGGCUCUUGUAUAUCACAUGCUUCUCAAAGCAUCAUUUUUAAGCUUUGAUCUAUGUUGUCAUCGAUUAUCAAAGAAAAGGAUAUUGUAAGUGCAUCUAAUCCUUAAGAUGGAUUUUAGUAAUUCAUGUCGUCCAUGACGAAAGAAAGGAGUAAAAAACAACAAGCAUUGUUACCAACAACAUCCGAAGCUAGGGUUCAUCGGAAUUCUUGUUGUCAUCUUUGAUAUUAGGGUCUCUUCCAUGUGGCCGAUCACCCUUCUCACUCCAGGACAGCGAUAUUUUUCGUAGACGGAGUUGGGAGUAAGUUACUCGAACAUAGUGCCUCUGGUCUUAGCUGAGGGUGCCUUCUCUCGUUCUUGCUUUGCUCCCGAUAGAUAGAAUAUGCUUUCUUUUUCUUACAAUCAAUACCAAUGAUAUAUUUAUAUAUUUAUAGUACCAAAUUGUACAUGAUAAAGAUACUUGAGCUGACUACAGCGAUAACAAAAUGAAGUCUAAAAGAAACGAGCAAAUCUUCUAGAUCUUCAAACUCUUUCUUCUUCCAUGACACAAUCAUAGGAAAUAUACUUUUCUAAGGCAACCACAGAAAAAUAACAAAGGUAUCAAACCAUAAGCUAGGGUUCUCCCAUAGUUUUAAUUUGAGCCGCAAUACCAAAGUUGCGAUGCACACACGCAGCCAUUAAAAUAAUCAACCAACAUCACAGAAUGUGCUAGUAACGUGUUGAAAGCAAAUGAGAACCAAUUACAAGAGAACCGAACGGAUGUGUAAAGAAAACAAUGGUCUUUUCAUAGAUUGAAUGAUUGGUAUUUACCCUUGCACAUAGCAAGUACAUUGGUAGAGGCCAUUGACACAUGUGGCAACCGGCCAAUCAGGGAAGGAUACUUAGGCAACAUGUGUUGAAUAAAUCACAGCAAGUAGGCGAAGCUUAGAAGUACCCGGAACAGUUAACGUUGUCCUACCACGUGCCCAUAUACGCCUCCAGUAUCAUCACGAAUACAUGAACAAUCACUUCGUAAAAUAAAGGAUCCCCAACUAAUCACGUUGGGGUCGACUUCAGAUGUCAAAACCAAAAGCCUCGGGAUAUCACAGGUUAAAAAUCAACCGCACACCAAUCACCCUUAAAUAGCUGAACCAAGCCAUAGUUACACCAAAUGAUUUAACAGCCCAAGAAAACCUCACUUUCCACCAAGAACCACAAGCUAUUGCCAAGCAACAUUACCUACAUCAUUUUCUGUAAUAAUAACAUCAAAACUAUAUAGAAAGCAUACAUAGUUCUUGGGGCAAGUAUCCAUGUGCUGCGAUAUCUGAGGGUUAGCCACACCACCUAUAGCACCUCUAUACAAGGCCAAUCAGCAGGCGUCUUCAUGAUACCAUGGAGGCAGGCGAUAGCUGCUCAUACUUACUCGGAUGGCAGCACAUAUUCACACUGUACCACUACAAGCCCCAUUUGCCUUCUAUACAGGUGAAGGGAUGUGGGUGUAACAUCGACACCCUUUCGCUUAAUGCGCAAGUGACGACCUGUUGUUGUUGUCAAGCCCCAUUGCAAAAUUGCCACGGUAAGUAAGGAGAUACAUCUCAGUCCUUG